UCUAGGAAAAUUAAUCAUGCUACUUCAACACCAACCAAUGCAACGUAGCAACAACUGCUGGAGAUAAGCAUCUAAUAGGAGAAAAACAUCUGACCACCAUUUUCAGGAUUUUACACUAGUCUAGUUGGCAGACAACCACCACCACGAGGAACAAACAACUGGGACCUAUUAUUCCAUGUAAACUGGAUAUAAGACCUAUGAUGAAUGCAGAAAGUCAAGCACAUCACAGAUGAUAAUAAUCUACGUCUGUUGUAAUCCGAAAAGCCAAGGCAAACAUAACAACUACUCAUCAUCAUCCACGCGAAGAUCACGGCCACUUAUCAUUCAAGGGCACAGGGACGAUCCUCUGUUUGUCCGGGUGGUAGUAUACAUGCAUUCUGCGGCCUAAAACGCAAGCUCGUAGCUUUCUUAGGACUGAUCAGCCAAGCCGCUCCCACCGUCAUUAUCGGCACCAGUGCUCCUGUGGCUCUCAGUGCCAGAAGGCUCAGAACUGGCCCCACCUGCUGCAUAGGCUGGUUCAACUUGAGGGGCCUGAGGCAUGCCAUUGACAGCCCCAGGUCUCGCAACCAUUUGACCAGCAAACGGAAGCAUCUGAGCCUGUUGCUGCUGUAGUUGCUGCUCCUGCAUCUGCUGAGGCGUUAGAGGGGUCCUCGGAGGGAACAUUGGCACCUGUGACAUGUAAUGCCCUGCCCCUGGGGAUGCACUAGGUGGUGCCAUCUGUAUGCACAAGUAACAUUAGUGCAUGCACUAGAAACAAUAUAGGUAUACUGUAUAUUGCCAUAUUGGUCUAGGACAUGACUGACCUGAGGACGGCUUACAGUGGUCUGUGGCUGAGUAUCAGCGAUUGCAGCCAAAUACAAAAGAUUCUUCUGAAGCUGAGCUUGAUACCUGAAAGUUAUAUAGGAGAUGAGUUGUCUAUGUGUUUCUCCAUAUCCGCUUCAUAAGGAACCGCACAUUCACACAAGCAAAUAUUGUUAUGUAUAAGGAAACUUGUUGAAUGCAACUAUCUAUUACAGGUAUAGAACACAAGAACAAUUCAAUGCAAUGCAAAGUAGAUUAAGAAAUACAAAAAUAUCACAAAUUAUGCCCCCACUAGCAAGAGAAGAGGACUAAUAACGGAGAACUUAAACUUCCAAUAAUCAUAGAAGCAAAAACAUGAUGUGGUUAGCAACAUUGGAUUAGUGACACACGAGCAGCGACCGGCACAAUGGAACUGUUGAUCUGGUACACAAGUAAAAGAUUAUGAACGAUGCUAAGCAUAAAAGACAGCCAUAUUACAACAUGAAAAACUGAUACGGCCAAAGUUGCCGUGUCUGCAUGCCAGGCGGCUCUGAUACGGUGAUACGCAUGAUAUGGCCGAGAUGCACGUAUCCAGGAGUACAAGGAUUUUUGAUUUUUUUUUAAGAGAGAGAAAAGAGCCUAUAUGGUAGGACAUGAUAGCACAGUGAUGCGAGAGCGUAGCCCCGAGCGAGCCCAAUAGAAGCCCAAGAAGUCACGAACUACCCUAACUUUGCUCUCUCGCUCUCUGUUCGACCGCACAAGCACUGGAUUGAGGGCAGGAGGGCGCCGCCACCACCGCCUGGAAUCGACUCGCCACACCGCCGCCUCGAGUGACUAGACUCGAGCCUUCUCCACCACCGUCGCAAGAGAGAGGUAAGUUUCACGUGCAUGCUUGCUGUGUGCUUGGCUGCUUGCUAUUGCUAGCUGAUGUUGCUGCUUUGCUGCUACUGCCUACUGCUAGGGAGGGAAAUAUGACAUGGCAUCUAAAGGGAGUGGCAUGGCAGCUAGCCAGUCUUCACUUGGUGGUACUGCUAGCAACAGUACUGAAAUUGAAGGCGCAGGUGGAGAGGCCGGGCACGGUGUCGGCAAUCCAAAAUAUCAUAUGAUGUACUCCCUCUGUAAACUAAUAUAGGACGUUUUAGAGACUUGACACAAGUCUCUAAAACGUCCUAUAUUAGUUUACAGAGGGAGUAUUUUCUAUUUUGCAUACACCAUGAGGACAUUGAUGAUGUUUCAAGACUUGACAAGAGGCAUGGAAGCACCCAAUGGAGCAGUAUUUUGAUCGCAUCUCACGCAUCCUAUUAUGUUGUCUUUAUUACAUGUCAUUUUAUGAAUUGUUUGUAUAUACUCGCCGUAUCGCCGCUGUUUCUGGAAAUUAACAUGUCCUGUGUCCCCGUACUCGUAUCGCCGUAUCAGUGCUUCGUAGACGUGAAGUCCAAUAGAGUAAAGCUUAGUUAGCAACAAUGUGUUUGUAGAUCAAAAGAAUGCAUAUUUUGACAGUUUUGAGUGUUUGUUACAGCAUGACAAGUAUGUAGGCCAUUUCGCUGACAUGGCUGCAAUUUGUCUUUUAUGUGACACUUCCGGAGGAGAAGGGACGCCACAGGUGCUAGGAGGUUGGCGACACGGUCUAGAUCCUCAACAUUAUGACCGCCCUCCGCAAGGACAACAUAAGCAAAUCGUCCCAACCUCCACGCUCUCGCGGGCGCCCUACCUGUCUGUGCAUUGCGCCACUACCACCAUGGCCUUGCUGUUCUCCCGCCUACUAGAAGAAACCACCUAAAAUAAGUUUGUCAAAGCGCAGACAAGCACCUGCGCAAGAACCACGACAGGGUGCUCUAAUGACAAUAGUCAUGGAUUGACAUGAUGCCGCUUGUAAGCGCCCCUACAGUCAGAGCAACCCAGCGCUUCCACAAAUAGUGCAUCUCGUGCCAGAGUUCGCUUCUGAAAAUGAACGGACAACUACCUUCAUGUUCAAAUAUACAACUAGUGGCAGGGUUAACUUCUGAUAUCCUGCAAUUUCUCUUUUGCCAACUAUACAGGGACUAUGGAAGAGUUUUAACCAAAUCUUAUGGUAUCUUUCAGUUUAGAUAUUUGUCACUCGUCUAGCAUUCCUUUCCGGACACAAGUACUAUUUGUGUAGUCAUGCACACAUAUGCGUAUUACACUUAUAUGUUUUUACAAAGCAGAUGUUUCUCAUAAUACUUUACACGGAUUUUGAACCUUUUGUAGCUACAGCUAUUCACAAGAAGCUGAGGUACAUAACGAAGACAAAUGUCAGUUAAAAAAGAAAAACAAAGAUAUACGGAGCAGAGAUUAAGAUACUUUUUAUGGCUCUUGGAAGUUGGAAGUAAUGAUUACCAUUCAUUAGUGAUUUUUUUCUCCAAGGGAUGUGGUGUCGUAACUUGAAAUUUAUCCAGACUAGCUAAUUGACUGUGCCUUGCUACAGGGGCAUACACAUUCUAAUGGUUUAACAUCAAUCAUGUCUAACAUAUACCUUUUAGAAUACUCAUGUACAUUAGGUGGUAUUGUUGAUUCGAUUUACCGUUAAAUAAUUCCUCCUCCACCAACCUCUCUCUCUUUCUCUAAAAAAGCAAAGACUUGAUUAACCUUGAAGAAAUAAACCCAGAGUGUGGAGGGAAUAGAGAGGAGGACGGACAUGCGUGUGUGGGUCGCAGCGGGCCGGUUUCGCCCUGGUUUUCUUGGCGUGCUAAGCAUGGAAUGGAGGCGGACAAAGGUUGGGUGAAAUGGGAACGUUAUGUCUUUUUUAGGUAGUGUAGAGUAGAUAGAUGUAGAUGUAGAUGUAGAUAGAUUGAUUGAUUUGUCAUGUAUGGUAGUGAAUCAGCUGGAGACAAUUUUUUAUUGAUGAUUGAUUUGUUUAUUAUGGCACUUGAAUCAGCGCUUACCAAACUGGUUGGGGUUGUGGUCGGUAAAAGGAUUCAUGGGAAGAUCCAUCAAUCAGUGGGGCCCUGGGGGGACGAACAACGUAGGAAGUAGAAACUCCCCUUUAAUAGUACGGAUAAAUUUGAAGGACUAUUUGAUUUGUUAUCACGAUGUAGCAAGUGCCUGACCAGUUCCGAAAUAUUAAAGUUCGCAUGAUUUAACAUAAAUUAUAGUAUAAUAUCUACCGCUAUUAACCAUUGCAAGCAGUAGUUUCCAAGUGUAGGAAAUAUUAUUAUUUUUUUGCUUCAGAGGCAAAACAGUAAACAUAAUAUAUAUAGUAAGGCAGCUAAACCUUUGGCGGGAAAAACAUAUGGUAAUACUAAGUUCACGAACAUCACAUACUUGUAAUAAACUAUGAUGAAUAUUUAAGAAAACCACGGCCAUCCGCAAGAUGCACGUGUUUUGAUUGAAUGCACUACAACUUAUCAAAUCCACAAAUUUAUGUCCCUCCACUGCGUGCACUUAUGUCUUCAAACCGAGGAAGGGAGAAGACACGGAACUUAUGGUACCAACAUCAUGAGGCAUUGGGUUGCACACACAAUGUAAAUCCCCUAGAGGCACAGCACAAAGGUUGAUGGUGAUAUCUUCUCUAUCGAUCAAAACGUUAAGACACAUAAAGAACCAAGUUGGUGCUUUGAUGGUAACUGAAGAUGGUUGGACGACGACCCUUUAACCACUAGGGUUUGGUUUCCUGUGUGUGUCACCUACAGGAAUAUUUGUUCAGUGGUAGGGGACACACCCGUCAAUAUUCAAUCUCUGUGUGUCCAGUAGCUAUUGUGUGAAUACAAGCUAGUGGUGGUGUCCAUAUUUACAUGCUGUACUGGGUGCUUUUAACACAGGGCGCCAAGACACACUACUUUAUUAGUAUUAAAAGAUAAUCAUACAAAGAUCCGUUCAACCUUUUUCACUGGUACUCUAGAGACAGUUGACCUGUGGUUCAAUAUUAAUGUUUGGAACAAUAUAUUUCCUUGUAUGACACCCAAAAAAAAAACUUGUUAGGUUCAGUGGCCACCUCAGCCAAAUUUGAGACACCAAGCCUCUAGUAUGUGCUUUUGCGUUCACAAAAAAAUAGUACUCCAUCAUCAAAGUAGUGUUUCUUGACUAACCAUACCCACAUCAAUCAUAUCACAUGUGGUAAUGGCUAAGGGUGCUAAAGCAGAAGUACCAAUUCAAUUCAUUGGCAGGUCAGCUGCUCAAGCAGACAUUUUCUUUGCAAACAUAUUAUUUUGGCAGUCUUUGCAAGCAUAUUAUUUUGGCAGUUUUUUGCCUGCUUCAUUUACUUAUUUUAACUGAACAGACCAGCAGCCAGUCCAAUAUUUACUGUUGGCCUGUUGGGCGUCCGCUGGUCUGGUUUUAGAACAACGGUACUAGCUAACGAUAAAUGUAAACAGAUAAGUAAGAACAGCUGAAGAUGGCGGCAGAAACACAAUAAUUAUAUUUUGUGCAUACAAAGCAAGAAUCCGAUGGAAAGCAGAAUGGCUCAUUAGUUAGCGAAAUUAAAGACCAUAUUGAAUUGUAUAAUCUUCAGAAAAAGAGGUUCAGUCCAAAACAUACUGAGCACAUUCCGCCAACUUUCCCAGGUUCUGAUUUUCCAAGAUAGCCAAAAUUAGUUGCUUAUUUUCAUCCAGGUACUGCACAAUGGAUAAUGCCAAUUAGGGGGAAUGGAUAAUUAUAACAGGUCGUGUAUAGAGUUAGUAAAUUCAAAUAGAAAGCCUGAACAACAAAAUACAAAUAAACAAAAACAAUACAGUGCAGCAUUAGAAGGUUAGACCUUCUAUAGGUCUGCACGAAAACACGAGGAUUAAAGAUCGGGACUGAAGAUUUUUGUUCAAUCAUCCCAAUGCCCAAAUUACAAAGCUAGAAAGAAGAAAGGAACACAAAGCAUUAGUAUAAAUCUAAAGAACUAGAGAUCAUUUGGAGGUUGGGAGUCAAAAGUAUAGAACUAUAUUGUUGGAGUGAAAAUGUUUGGUCCGUUUGUUGCACAGCAUAAGCAUGAGCACCCUUGAUAACUUGGAAAACAGUUCAAAAGGAGUAAAUCCAGGGUUGCUCUCAACAUUUUUCUGGAGUAAAGCAACUUGGUCGAACAAUGUAGGUUUUCGUUACUAGAACGAAGCCAUUUCCAUUAAGCAGUACAUGCAUCAACAUUCACCAGCAAGAAGCAAAAAUAAAUAAAACUUGUUUGAAUCUAGCGAGACAAUAAAGGAUGCGUCACAGUAAUUAGUCGCUAGUAACUGCAAAACAAAAGCAACAUUUGAAGAUUGGCAGCUGGAAUGGAAAUAAGGCUGUAGAAGGAUGGAAAUAAUACUAGUAUUAAUUUAUAGAAGGAGAAUACUGAUAUCAACUAACUCAGAAAAAAGCUAUUCAAAUCACAUCAAUAUCGGUCCAUAAGAACGCCAUCUCUAAUAAUCCACCAGAAGAAAACCACGACCGGUAGGGGCGACAAACGAUCGAAUAUUUGGCCGGGAACCAACCCUUCAAACCCACCAAGGAGGCACGCCAGCCCUAUCGAGAGCCGACAGAGAUGGGAAGGGGGGAGAGGGAACCUUUUGGAUCUGCUCGGUGCUGAGGCCAGCAGACGGAGGCAUCCCCGGCGCCGCCGCCGCCGGCGGCAUGGGCAUCGCUUGCUGCAUCGCGGCGGCUCUCGCUUCCUCUUUGUUGGGCUGUGUUGUGGGGUUUGGAGGGUUUGCGGGUGUAGGAAGAAACACAAAGCGCCCACCUGAUGCCGACCUGCCCCAGAAGACUUUCAGAUGCUCCUGUAAUUUGGAAAUAAUUACAUAUAUGCCCCUUGACAUUUUGUUACGGUUGCCUGCACCUAUUUUGGUCACUUUGCAUGUGUAGCCCGAUUAAGCCUGGAUGACUGAAUACAAAUCAAAAAUCAAGUGUUUGCCUACAUCCCCUUCACUAUGACCAAGCAGCAACAUAGGCACCGUUGUUUGGUUGUCUGCAUGUUCUACCCAGAUGCAAAAAGAUGUUGUUUGGUUAUAUGCACACAAGUGAUGUGGUAAUCUCUUUAAGAAAUGAUGAGGUUACCAGUACACACAUCGUCGACGUAUAUAGCAUAAUCAUAACCAUAGGAUUAACCACAACCAUAAGGCCUUCUACAAUGCUAGAUGCUUAGGGAGGUGUUUACAGAAAUAAACCGUUUUUCCUGAAGUAUUGGUGUCUAUUUAUAAAAAGAGACGCCUAAUUAAGCGUCUACGCUCUACAAAUAAGCUCCCGUGCUUAAAAAAAGUCCGGUUUAUCUUUCUAAGUAUCUCCCCUAAGCACCUUGCAUUGUACAAAGGCCUAACCGUCAUACCAGUUCAAACAGGCUAACAUCACAACAGUACCACAUAGUCUUCAAACUUUAACAUAGCAGAGAUAGUAGCGAACCCAUCCUAAGCACCCUCAGCAUCCAUGUCGAAUGCUUUGUGAUGCAUAUCGCACUUUUUCUCCACCUCAAUGUCGUCGUCUUUGAAGACAAUGACCUUCAAGUUCGCAGGACUCACCGGCUUGAAGGUGAGGAAGCACCCGAUGCUGACCUCGUGAGUUACACACAAGGCGGCCCAAUCCUUAUCAAGGGCGAGCCUGCCACUGAUCAUCCGGGUGGUGACCUUUCAGGUGCAGUCGUUGUUCAUCGUCAGCCUAAACAACUCUGGGAUGCGGCCGAAGUGCUUGCUGAUGGCAGGGGCAUCUGCAGAACCUCCAAUUUAGGUCCAAAGGUGGUCUUGCAAAAGUGUGUUCGGACGACGUUCUCCUAGUAAUGGUCGUACUUCUUAAUCCUCUUCGAGGGGCUGCCAAUCUGCAGCAUCAGCUUGCCCUUCUUGCCCAAGACGAUCCGUUUGCCCUUCCCGUCAGCGGCUACCUCCUUACCCUUCUCGUCAGCGGUGACCUCAUUGACAGCCUUGUCAUUGCAUCCCAUGACGAUCUUGUCAAUGUGCAUUGAACAUACACAUAUGAACUAGUUAUCGAAUCAAAAACGUAAUGCAUGUAUGAUCAAGAUCGGUCUGGACGACUCCGAUGGGGAGGAGGAGCACCAGGCGUUGAAGAUGGUGGUGAUGGUUUCUUAGCCUGGCUGCUCUUCAAUGCCCCUCGAGAUGGAUGACUACAAGCUUGAAGGUAGGCUACCACGUGUGUGUUCAAACCCUGGAAUCGAUUCAAUGGUUUGUUAAAACCCUCAAAUUUCCUACCUACCAUGUUUGAAAAACCUCAAAAUUCCUACCAUGUAUGUGUUGGCCCAGUGGGAACCAGGGUACCACGGGGCCAUCUGCCUACGGCCCAGGAAGGACCCUUUGCCCAACUCAUGAGGCGGCCUGCCAGCGGGCGCCGCGAAGCCAGCAGCCUAGCCAGGGCCUUGCCCCGCGAGGGACUUCUCCGACAGAGGACUUCAUCAAGACUACAUCACGGCAAGCAAACCCGGAGCCCGCACGUCGCGAGUCACGUACCCGUCACGUGGGUGAUGUCGUCGUGGCAGGCGCCAACCUAUGCGGCUAGGGUUGUUUCCCCUUUGGUGUUAAGGGAGUAGCUGCGCCUACCUGCCCCCAAAGCAAGUUCCAAAGGUUUCCCCUUUGGUGAAAGAAGACCAAGAUGGUGGCGCGGUAGGACGAAGGUCAUCAUGGAGCCCCCGACGCGUCAUGGAUAACACCUUUGGCAGGCGAAGACGACCUUUUGUCAGGAUAAGCUCCGGCACCCGUCCCCUUUCAAAUUUCCACCCUGUGGUAGCCCAUUCCUGCUCAUAUUUUGGGGGAAGAGGCCUGAGGCACCUAUAAAAGGGGAAAAGCAGCCACCGUACCAAAAGGAUCGGAUUUUGUCGCCAUUGCUGACCCCCAAGAGCUCUAGCUCAUCUUGUAGCUCCAACAGCACUGUCCACCAGCAAUACAACCAAGCAGGAGUAGGGUUUCACACCGCACGGUGGGCCGAACCUGGGUAGCUCAUUGUGUCCUUGUCGUGCCUAACUUGUAGCCUCGCAGACGUGAGCCAAGCCCCUAGAGCUCGAACCAGGGUUUUGGAGAAUUUCUCAUGGCUCAGAAUCAAUCCCCCGACAUUUGGCGCCCCGGGUAGGGGGCUUGCUUUUGCGCCUCGAGCUUCAACACCACCAUGGCCGAUGCUUGACACGCUCGCGCCCAGCGCCGGGCCAACCGCGUCUAGAUGGAUCCCAUCAGCGACACCCAUCGCCAUCGAGCUCGCGCAGCCACCAUGGGCGCAACGCUGGAGGCAAAGGUCUCCUCCGAGCACCUUUCGGUCGGGCAACACAAGCAGCGGCACCACCAGCAGCCACCGCCUGCCCGCACAGCCACACACAAGUUCGCUGGCCCGCUGCUGUUGGGGAACACAGUAAUUUCAAAAAAAAUCUUACGCACACGCAAGAUCAUGGUGAUGCAUAGCAACAAGAGAGGAAGAGUGUUGUCCAUGUACCCUCGUAGACCGUAAGCGGAAGUGUUAUGACAACGCGGUUGAUGUAGUCGUACGUCUUCACGAUCGACCGAUCCUAGUACCCAAAGCACGGCACCUCCGCGAUCUGCACACGUUUAGCUCGGUGAUGUCCCACGAACUCUCGACCCAGCUGAGUGUCAAGGGAGAGCUUCGUCAGCACGACGGCGUGAUGACGGUGAUGAUGAUGCUACCGUCGCAGGGCUUCGCCUAAGCACUACGAUGAUAUGACUAAGGUGGAUUGUGGUGGAGGGGGCACCACACACGGCUAAGGGAUCAAUGAUCAACUUGUGUGUCUAUGGGGUGCCUUCCUCCCUCGUAUAUAAAGGAGUGGAGGAGGGGGGAGGGUCGGCCCUCUAUGGUGCGCCCUAGGGGAGUCCUACUCCCACCGGGAGUAGGAUUCCCCCCUUCCAAGUAGUAGGAGUAGGAGAGAAGGAAGGGGAAGAGAGGGGAAAGGAAAGGGGGCGGCCCCCACCCAAUUCGGAUUGGGCUAGCGGGGGGCGCCUCCCACCUUUUCCCUUCCUCUCCUCUAUUCCACUAAGGCCCAAUAAGGCCCAUAUACUCCCCGGGGGGGUUCCGGUAACCUCCCGGUACUCCGAAAAAUGCCCAAACUCAUCCGGAACCAUUCCGAUGUCCAAACAUAGGCUUCCAAUAUGUCGAUCUUUACGUCUCGACCAUUUCGAGACUCCUCUUCAUGUCUGUGAUUAAAUCUGGGACUCUGAACUACCUUCGGUACAUCAAAACACAUAAACUCAUAAUACCGAUCGUCACCGAACGUUAAGCGUGCGGACCCUACGGGUUCGAGAACUGUGUAGACAUGACCGAGACAUGUCUCCAGUCAAUAACCAAUAGCGGAACCUGGAUGUUCAUAUUGGCUCCCACAUAUCCUACGAAGAUCUUUAUCGGUCAAACCGCAUAACGAUAUAUGUUGUUCCCUUUGUCAUCGGUAUGUUACUUGCCCGAGAUUCAAUCGUCGGUAUCUCAAUACCUAGUUCAAUCUCGUUACUGGCAAGUCUCUUUACUCAUUCUGUAAUGCAUCAUCCAGCAACUAACUCAUUAGUCACAUUGCUUGCAAGGCUUAUAUUGAUUUGCAAUACCGAGAGGGCCCAGAGAUACCUCUCCGACAAUCGGAGUGACAAAUCCUAAUCUCGAUCUAUGCCAACUCAACAAACACCAUCGGAGACACCUGUAGAGCACCUUCAUAAUCACCCAGUCACGUUGUGACGUUUGGUAGCACACAAAGUGUUCCUACGGUAUUCGGGAGUUGCAUGAUCUCAUAGUCAUAGGAACAUGUAUAAGUUAUGGAGAAAGCAAUAGCAACAAACUAAACGAUCAUCGUGCUAAGCUGAUGGAUGGGUCAAGUCAAUCACAUCAUUCUCUAAUGAUGUGAUCCCGUUAAUCAAAUACAACUCAUGUCUAUGGUUAGGAAACAUAACCAUCAUUGAUUCAACGAGCUGGUCAAGUAGAGGCAUACUAGUGACAUUUUGUUUGUCUAUGUAUUCACACAUGUACUAAGUUUCCGGUUAAUAUAAUUCUAGCAUGAAUAAUAAACAUUUAUCAUGAUAUAAGGAAAUAUAAAUAAAAACUUUAUUAUUGCCUCCAUAUUUCCUUCAGUCUCCCACUUGCACUAGAGUCAAUAAUCUAGUUCACAUCGUCAUGUGAUUUAACACCGAUAGUUCACAUCUUUAUGUGAUUAGUUCACAUCUCCAUGUGACUAACACCCCAAUGGUUUACUAGAGUCAAUAAUCUAGUUCACACCGCUAUGUGAUUAACACCCAAAGAGUGAUCAUGUUUUGCUUGUGAGUGAAAUUUAGUCAACGGGUCUGCCACAUUCAGAGCCGUAUGUAUUUUGCAAAUUUUCUAUGUCUACAAUGCUUUGCACGGAGCUACUCUAGCUAAUUGCUCCCACUUUCAAUAUGUAUCUAGAUCGAGACUUAGAGUCAUCCAGAUCGGUGUCAAAGCUUGCAUCGGCGUAACUCUUUACGACGAACUCUUUGUCACCUCCAUAACCGAGAAACAUUUCCUUAUUCCACUAAAGAUGUUUUUGACCGCUGUCCAGUGAUCCACUCUGGGUCACUAUUGUACCCUCUUGCCAAACUUAUGGUGAGGUACACAAUAGGUCUGGUACACAACAUAGCAUACUUUAUAGAACCUAUGACUGAGGCAUAGGGAAUGACUUUUCAUUCUCUUUCUAUUUUCUGCCGUGGUCAGAUUUUGAGUCUUUACUCAACUUCACACCUUGCAACACAGGCAAGAACUCCUUCUUUGACUGUUCCAUUUUGAACUACUUCAAAAUCUUGUCAAGGUAUGUACUCAUUGAAAAUAUAUCAAGUGUCUUGAUCUAUCUCUAUAGAUCUUGAUGCUCAAUAUGUAAGUAGCUUCACCGAGGUCUUUCUUUGAAAAACUCCUUUCAAACACUCCUUUGUGCUUUCUAGAAAACUCUACAUUAUUUCCGAUCAAUAAUAUGUCAUUCACAUAUAUGUAAGUGCAUCUAGUGCCCCUUAGUGUUUUUUGGUGUAUUUUAGACUUAUAGGUUAAGGGACUAAUGCGUUUGUGAGUGUACACAAGUCUAUAAGUCUAUGAGGAGCUUGAUAUUUACAGAGAAAGUUGACCCCUAAAAAUGAAUGUCUUCGGCUGAAGACUUUGGAUUUCUGAAGACUUUGAAAGUGAAGAAAUUGGUGUGACCAUGAAGACUUGUUAUUCAUACGAGGAACAUGAAGCGUGAAGACUUUUGUUUUCGUAGUUUCAUUUUCUCUUUCUGGAGUCAUAGGGAACACCGUACUGUUAAAGGGGGUCGAGGUAAAACUAAGGAAAAGUUUCCAAGUGAUGCUCAUCUCAAAAUCCUACACCUACCAAUCCCUUUGAGUGAAGCCAUUGGAAAUCUCAUACAGUUCAGUCAAUUUCUUCAUUGACAGAGACGAAGUUCUAUGGGUAUCUGAGGAAUUUGUUCUGACUGAGGAGUUAGGAAUUCGCCAGUGCGGAUUGCCUACAAGUGAGGAACAUGAUAGCCCUGAGGAAAUUGAUAAUCAAAUUUCCGACCGUUGCUAUGCUACGCGCCAGCUGUCCUAAAAUAUCUACCCACCUAACGGUCAUAUCAUUGAAGGGCAUUUAUGUCUUAUCAUGUUGGGCUGCUCCCUAGGCUAUAAAUAGCUGCCCCCUACAACCACUAGCUGGUUGGCUGCUCCGCGAGAAACUGACACUUGUCAUUGAGAGCAUCCCAUCUUCCGAGGACUUUGAGCGAAAAUCAUCAAGUGAGGGAAAACCCAAAACCCCAAACCAAACACCUACAAACCCAAAGUGAUUCAGCAUCACUGAAGAGAUUGUUCCUUUGUGGAACCGACACUUGUUACCUUUGAGGACUAUGCAUCCUCCAGAUGGUUAGGCGUCAUGGUCUAGAGCAUCCAAGAGGAAAUUGUGGAUCGCCGGGUGACCAAGUUUGUGAAGGUUUGGAAGUCACCUGAAGACUUACCACGAGUGAUUGGAUGAGGUUUGUGUGACCUUAGUUCAAGGAUAACACGGUGAGGACUAUGUGUCCGGGACUGUGUGUCCUCAGGUAUAAAUACCUAGCCGCUUUAACCAGACGUACAACUGUCACAACAGUUGGAACUGGUUUACCAAAUCAUUGUCUUCACCAAGCUUACUGGUUCUAUUUCCUCAACCCUUUCAUUUCCUCAUUACUGUGUUGUGUGCUUGUUCAUAUCUGUUUGAAGACUUUGACUGAAGACUUUCUCAAUUUCCUUAGUUCAAUUUCUUCAGUCUGUUUGUCUUCAUCCUAUUUUAUCCUGUGCUUACACUUUCUGUACUCUGUGUCUAACUUCAUCUAAUCAUGAUAUCCAUGUUUAUGUUAUGUCAUGUAUGCAUCUGAGUACUUAUUCCGCUGCAAGUAGUUCUUUGCUCAGGAAUUUCCUCACCCUGAAAUUCCUCAGUGGAGAAUUUAUAAAAAUCACCUAUUCACCCCCCUCUAGUCGACUUAACGCACUUUCAAUCGGUAUCAGAGCGGGGUACUCCCUUGUUCUGUGUGAUUUUGGUUUAACCGCCUGGAGUUUUAGUUAUGUCGACCACAUGUAUGAUCAAGGUUUCUGCUUGGUGUCCUACCUUCGAUGGGACAGACUACCCCUAUUGGAAGAAUAAGAUGCGCAUGCAUCUUGAGGCAAUUGAUAACGAUCUCUGGUACGUUGUGGAAAAUGGCGUUCCCUCUGUCACUCCUACCAUCAAUGCCGCUGAUGUGAAGAGAUUCAAGCAACUCGACUCUCAAGAGAAGAACAUCAUAUGUGUCCAUCUGAGCAAAGGGCAGUAUGGCAGAGUGAGCCAUUUGGAGACAACAAAGCUUAUCUGGACAGGCUGUCCAAGGUCAAUGAAGGAGUCUCAAUACAACGUGACUCUUGAGUUGACGUUCUUCACAAUCUCUUCAACCGCUUCAAAAGACUUGACAAUGAAAAUGUUCAGCAAACCUUCAAUUGCCUCACUGACAUUUCAAAUGAGCUUCAAGCACUUGGUGCCUCUGACAUCACCGACCAUGAGGUGGUGAAGAAAUUGCUUCGAUCGCUUGAUUCCUCAUUUGACACCCUUGCACUCAUGAUACAAGAACGAGGAGACUACAAGUCACUUGAUCCCGUUGAUAUCCUCAAAAGGCUAAACACUCAUGAGUUCCAGCUUGCUGAGAAGAGAGGUCUCUAUGGACCAAGCUAUGGCAGAUCACGAGCUCUGAAGGCCAAGGCAGUGUCUGAAUCUGAAGGUGAAGAUUCUGGUAGCAGCCUUGGUGAUCCUGAAGAACUGAGCCAGGAGCUAGCAAUGCUCGUGAGGAAAUUCUAGAAGUUCUCAAGAUGUGGUCGUUCUGGAAAAUCCUCAAGAAGUGAUGACUUAAGAUCAGAUUCCUCAUCCUGUGAUUACAAAGAAGAGACUUUUCCACAAAUGCAAGAAACCCGAUCACUACAUUCAAGAUUGUCCUCAGUGGGAAAAGGAAUCAAAGAAGAAGAAGUACAAGGACUACAGUUCUGAUGAUUCAAAGAAGAAUAAGAAAUCUUCAAAGUCCUCUUCAUCAAAACCUUCAAGGUCUUCAUCUCACAAGAAGAGAAGCUCCAAGAAGGCUCGGGCAUUCAUUGGCAAGGAAAUGGACUCUGGGGCUGAAUAUGAGGAAAAUGAGGAAGAGGAGGAAUCUAAGGAGUCAGACUCUUGUGUGGCGAGCCUAGCCCUCGCUACCACAUUCAUCAGCAAGUCCAUCUUCAACUCUGAGGAAAAGGACCUCCCCAAUACCACUGACAACGACGAUGAUGACUACGCUCCCACCAAUUGCUUCAUGGCAAAAGGUGCAAAGAUACUCAAAUAUCCCUCCUCUGAAUCAAGUGAGGAUGAAUCUGAUGAAAAUCUCAAGCCUAGUUAUUCUAAACUUGCUAAGAUUGUUGUGAAACAACAAAAGGCUCUUGAAAAGGUUCAAAAUAUGCUAGACAAAAGCGAUGAUAUGUUGGGUGAUGAAAUGGAUCGCACUAAAACUUUGACUGAAAAUCUUCAGAGACUUCAGACUAAGUUUGAUAACCUUCAGAGUCAUCAUAACACUCUCUUAUCUGAUCAUGAGAAGCUUUCUUAUGAUUUUCUUCAAAGAAAGCAAGAUCUUGAGCAGUUAAGAGUGAGUUAUGAAGAUCUUCAGAAGGAGCAUGAUUCAUUACUUGCUCAACAAAUCAGCGCUGCUCAAGAAGAAUUAAUCCUCCAUGUUUGAAGUGCAUUGAACGUGAAUCUGCUAAUUCUUCACCUGAAUGCUCAAAUGCUUCUAUUGCUACAAAUUCUUCACAUGUCUCUGCUAUCACUAAUUCCUCAUCUGAGGAUGCUUCUAGUAUCACUGAACAUGCAUGGCUGAAGGAAUUGUAUGUGACAGGCAUGUACAAACGCCUCAAAGGGCAUCAGGCUCUUUGUGAUGUGCUCAAAAAGAAGAUCCUCAUCAGGAACCCUAGGAAAGAGGGUAUUGCCUUUGAGAGGAAACUCAAUGCUGAUGGGACCUACUGGAAACCUGAGUAGUAUCCCAAAACCUCAUGGGUUGCUGCAAAGGGACCUUUACUGGAUCCAUCUACUUUAUCUGGCUUUACAUGUGAAUCUUCAUAUUCUUCUGAUGAGUCAUUUGACUCUAAUUAUAAACUGUUCAAAAAUCAGAAUGGUGAAGUAUUUGCUAGAUACGUUGGCACUAACUGCAGGAACGGUCCUCCUAUAAAGAAAAUCCGGGUUCCCAAAAGGUGCCUUGAAAGUCUUCAUGUGAAUUUCAUCAUGACACCACUUGUGAAGAAUAGGAACCCCAGAUCAAAUUCUUCAUAUGGACCACAUUCCUCACAUGGAUCAAAGUCCUCACACGAACAUCAUCAUGCUAACACCUCUAUUUCGCAGGGAAAGGCUAAGGACUAUGGAUAUGUGCACUAUUCUUCAAAUCAUUAUGUUCAUAAAUCCUCAAAGAAUUUCUCUACUUACUCAUAUGCUUACCCUAACCCCUCUUAUGCGAAAUGAAGUGGAUUGGCAUCUAUGCCACCUUUCUCUUAUGGAGCUCGCAGAAUGAUGAACUCUUUGCCACCCCUUCAGAUGUGGGUGGUGAAGAAAAAGAACUAAUCUCUUAUGCAGGGUCAGGUCUCCAGACGAACCUAAACGUCUGAAGAAUUUGCUGGAGACCUGAAUAUGCUUGAAAGGACGCAAGCUAAUCAUGAAGAAAUGAAUUUUCAUUUCUCACGUCCUCACAUUGCUAUAUCUGUUCUAUUGCUUGAUGAAAUUGAUCUGAUGAAUUUGACGUCAUAUUCUUCACUAAUGAAGUAUAUGAGUUCAUAAGUUGCACUAAUUCAUCUGCAUGAUGAUCAACCGAAAGCCACUAAGUGGGUCCUCGAUAGUGGAUGCACAAAUCACAUGACUGGUGACAAGAAUCUAUUGAUGGACGCUCCCUUAUCUCCAUCGCAUCUGAAGCAUAUCACCUACGCUGACAAAGGCAAAAGCAAGGUAUUGGGUCUAGUUAUGGUUGCAAUCUCAAAGGAUCGACACAUGGACAAAGUCAUGCUUGUUGAGUCCUUAGGGUUCAACCUCAUGUCUGUCUCAAUGCUUUGUGAUCUUGAUAUGGUUGUUGUCUUUGGCAAGUAUCGUUGUGUUGUGAUCAUGGAAGAUUACAAUUCCAAAGUCUUCGAAGGCUUCAGGAGAGGAGAUUUGUAUAUUGUUGAUUUCUCUAUAGGACCACAGCCUGCUACAUGUCUACUUGCAAAAGCUUCAGAAGGUUGGCUAUGGCAUCGAUGACUUGGUCAUGCUGGGAUGAGGAACUUGCACACGCUUGCGAAGAAAAAGCAUGUCAUUGGCAUCGAGGGUGUCAAAUUCCUCAAGGACCAUUUGUGUGGAGCUUGUGAAGCUGGAAAGAUGACAAAGGCCAAGCAUCCCUCAAAGACCAUCAUGACUACCACUCGUCCAUUUGAAUUGCUUCACAUGGAUCUCUUUGGCCCUACUCACUAUGCCACAUUUACUAAUGUUGCAUCUUUAUAUGGCUUUGUCAUUGUUGAUGAUUAUUAUUGUUAUACAUGGGUGCAUAUCAUCACUUACAAAACUAAAGUGCAGGAAGUCUUCAAACGAUUUUCCUCGAGGGCUUCAACCAACUUUGGUGUGAAGAUCAAGCACAUCAGAAGUGAUAAUGGAACCGAGUUCAAGAACACUGGUCUUGAUGAUUAUCUUGAUGAACUUGGUAUUACUCAUGAGUUAUCUGCUCCUUAUACUCCUCAGCAGAAUGGCGCCGUGGAGUGCAAGAACAUGACUCUUUUUGAGAUGGCCCGCACUAUGCUUGAUGAGUACAAGACGCCUCCUUGCUUCUGGCCUGAGGCAAUUGAUACUACGUGCCACAUCAUCAACAGAGUAUAUCUUCACAAAUUCUUCAAGAAGACUGCAUAUGAACUCCUCACUCAUAAGAAACCCAAUGUGAGUUAUUUCAAAGUCUUCGGUGCUAAAUGCUGGAUUAGAGAUCCUCAUCACAGUUCUAAAUUUGCACUGAAGGCACAUGAAGGUUUUAUGCUUGGUUACGGUAAGGACUCGCACACCUACAGAGUCUUCAACAUCCUAUCACCACAAGGUUGUUGAAACUGUAGAUGUGCGGUUUGAUGAAACUAAUGGCUCGCAAAGAGAGCACCUACCUCCUGUGAUAGAUGAAAUACCUCCCGAGGAAUCCAUUAAGUUCAAUGCUACUGAGGAUGUCAUUCCUACCGAAGAAUCUACUGAAGAAGUCAUUCCAGAACAUGAAGAACAUCGUGCUGGUGCACCUGAAGAAAAUGGCUCUGAAGAAAAUGCUGAGAAAAUUUCUCAUCCUCAACCAGCUCAUCCUCACGUCGCUAACGAAGUGCAGAUUGAGAAAAUCAUCAACACAUCAACGCACCAGGUCCUCUCACACGCUCAAAAGCUUCACAUUUAUCUAACUUUUGUGGGCAUUUUGCUUUCGUCUCUAUCACAGAGCCCACUAAGGUAGAUGAAGCAUUUCUGGAGACCGAGUGGAUUCCAGCUAUGCAAGAGGAAUUACAUCAGUUGGAGCUCAACAACAUCUGGGAACUUGUCAAGCGACCAGACCCUCGCAAGCACAAUAUCAUAGGCACAAAAUGGAUCUACCGCAACAAGCAAGAUAAAAAUGUGGCCUUGUGGUGAGGAAUAAGGCACGACUUGUAGCUCAAGGCUACACACAAGUUGAAGGAAUUGAUUUCGAUGAAACUUUUACACCUGUUGCUAGACUUGAAGCUAUUCGCAUAUUACUUGCUUAUGCUAACCAUCAUACUAUCAUCUUAUAUCAAAUGGAUGUGAAAAGUGCAUUCCUCAAUGGUAAGCUUGAGGAAGAAGUAUAUAUUCCUCAACCCCUAGGUUUUGAAGAUCCAAAGCAUCCUGACAAAGUCUUCGGACUCAAUAAGGCCCUCUAUGGUCUCAAGCAGGCCCCUCGGGCGUGGUAUGAUACUUUGAAGGAAUUCCUCAUGAAGAAAGGCUUCAAACCCGGUUCAGUUGACCCAACUCUUUUCACCAAAGCUUAUGAUGAUGAAUUAUUUGUGUGCCAAAUAUAUGUUGAUGAUAUCAUCUUUGGCUGUACUGACCAAUGUUACAGUGAUGAAUUUGCCUACAUGAUGAGUGAAGAAUAUCAAAUGUCUAUGAUGGGAGGAUUGAAAUUCUUCUUAGGCCUUCAGAUUCGUCAACACCGCAAUGGCAUAUUCAUAUCACAGGAAAAAUACCUCAAGGAUGUAUUAAGGAAAUUCGACAUGCAAGAUUGCAAAGGUGUCAAAAUCCCAUGCCCACAAAUGGCCAUCUACGCACUGAUGAAAAUGGUAUUGACUUCGAUCAAAAGGUAUACCGCUCCAUGAUUGGUUCUUUAUUGUAUUUAUGUGCAUCUAGGCCAAAUAUUAUGCUUAGUGUUUGCAUGUGUGCUUGUUUUCAAGCUACACUGAAGGAAUCACACCAUAAGGCUGUGAAGCAUAUUCUUCGAUAUCUAGCUCACACUCCAACACUUGGAUUAUGGUAUCCCAAGGGCUCGACUUUUGUUCUCAUGGGAUAUUCAGACUCUGACUAUGUUGGUGAUCGUGUGGACCGCAAGUCAACAUCAGGCACAUGCCAUUUCCUGGGACGAUCCUUGGUCUGCUGGUCUUCGAAGAAACAGAACUGUGUAUCACUUUCUACUUCUGAAGCUGAAUACAUUGCUGCUGGAUUGUGUUGUGCUCAAUUGCUAUGGAUGAAGCAAACUCUCAAGGACUACAGCAUCAAUGUGAAGAAUGUACCACUCUAUUGUGACAAUGAGAUUGCCAUCAAGAUUGCUCAUAACCCAGUUUAGCACUCGAAGACAAAGCACAUUUAGAUCCGUCAUCAUUUUCUUCGUGAUCAUGUGUUGAAGGGCGACAUCUCCAUCGAGCACGUGAAGAGUGAAGAACAACUAGCCGGUAUCUUCACAAAGCCCUUGGAUGAGAAGAGAUUUAGCAAGUUGUGGUGUGAGCUAAAUAUCUUAGAAUCUUCGAAUGUCCUUUGAAAAGGACACACAUCCCAACACUUAUGCAAAAUUGAUGACUUGGAUGUGCAACACACGAAGUAACGUUUUUUCUUCAGUCAAUGAAGACUAACCCUCUAAGUGUGAAGAAAUUGACGAAGAAUUUGAUUCUUAGAACCCUACGAUAAUUGUACGGGUGUCUGAAAUUAUCAUUCUUAUACGAUGGGUCACGCCACCAACAAAAGUUGAAAAUCUUCAAUUUGAGUUUUUCUUCACUUUUGAAAUUCCUCAGUUGUUCAAAUUCUUAAACUUUGCAAUGUCUUCACUGUUUCCAUCAUUUUUCUUCAUUGGCUAUAUAAAUAUAUGAGUUUAUGUCCUCUACAGCAUUCACUUAUUGCUAUUUCUUCAAGCUGCCUUUUUCUGCUAAGUGAAUGUGAUCGGACCCUUCCCCCUCUAUGAUAAACUCAACCCAGUCUGUUCACAAAUUUCUCAUAUGCGUUCUAUUUGAAACCCGUUCAAAAUCUUCACUGUGUCCUUAUCAACUGAAGAAUAUGCGAAUGAAACAUUAAAUUUUCAUAUAUGAAUUUUCGGUUUUUGCCGCUCAAACCAUUCCACAUUCCACGAUAAUACUUAUCCAUUCACCCACGAUCUCACACGAUCUCCACCUCACAGUAUGCGGGUGACACAUGUCACACAUAUGAGAAAGGUCAGGGGCACGUUCGUCCAUUUUCUUCGAACGAGCAGUUUUUCACCAUGGCUAUAUAUACCCCUUCCCUUCCUCAGUCUGUUUUUACUAUGCUCGACCUCACUCCCUCGCUCAAGCUCUCAAAACCUAGCGCUGCCGCUACAUCCAUCAUCGCCGGUGAGGAAGAGCUUUGCUGCCUCGACCUUGUCGCCGUCGUACUCGCAUCGACUAUGGAUUUCUUCACUCCACCGCCGCCGUAGCCGUCUUCUUCUGCCAAGUUAGGGUGUAGAAGAUCUAGACUGACGAACUUCCAAUCUACAUUCCCAGUUCGUCGUGUUCUUCAUCAAGGGUAAUUAAAAGUUACUUUUACUGCCCUUAUUGAUUCCAGUGAUUUCGUCAAAAUCUUUAAAAGGUGUUUAUUCUUCAAAUCUUCACACUCUAAACACUUCACACAAACAUCUGUUCUUGAUCUAUUUCCUAAGCCAUGUUUUUCUUCAAGAUUCCUCAAUUGUGUGGAUUUUCAAUCUACACAACUCUGGAACCUAAGUCAAAGAACGCUUAGUGAAAUUCCUCAAGUCACAUCUGGUCAAAUUCCUCAAACUUGUUCUUUUUGCAAAAACAUCUAAGAACGCAUAUGACCUCUCCAAAUUCUUCGCACCUAUACUCUAUUCACAUGUACACAUGUCUGCCACUAAAUCACUAGGUUAUCAUCAACUUAACUCAUUUGCAGCGUUCCUCGAAGAAAAACUACAUACCUCUUCAGAGAACUCAACUAUUCAAAAUCCUCAGCUGAAGAAAAUGGCUGAAGGAAAGAAACCUCAGAAGGGAGGAAAGAAGUUGGAAGUCAACACUGCCUUUGGAAUCCCUGAAGACAUCUAUGCAAGGUAUUGCACUCCAGAUGAGGCAAUUCAUGGAAAAGAAACUAAAAAUGAGCGCAAAGUGCGCAUUCAAAAAAUAGAGAGGAGAUGGGCCAGAGAAUGGAGAGAGUACAGAUAUGUGACUUCCAAGUACAUGAAGAAAUUCGUUGUAGACCCUCCAUGCCCAAGACCUCCCUUAGCACCAGGCCAAGUUGCUGAUCCCUCAAGCAUCAGACGAGGUGAGGAAUUCCCUGCUGAAUGGGCCAAGCAUCAAGCGAAGUUGGCAAAAGUAGCAAAAGAGGUAGUGAAGAAAUUCAAUGAAGACUCUGCUGCUGCUGCUGCCACUGCUGAGGCUUCUGCUAGCAAGCCCAAGAAGGCUAUGCCUAAGAAGCCUGCACAUAAGCCCAGUGCUUCUUAUUCAAUGCCCUCAUGGCCAAACUCUUCUGCUAAGCCCUCACGGCCAAUUCCUCAACCUUCCCCAGUUCCUCAAGUUCCAAAACCCUCAGCUCCUCCGGAAAAGUCCUCAGCACCUGUGCAUCUCGCCUUGUGCCAAAGGACCACAGGAAAAUCUCUUGCCUCAGGAGCCUCUGCAAGUUCUUCAGCUCCUCUGCAUUCCUCAACUGGCCUCACAUUGCUGAAGACCAAGGCCACUACUGGACGAGGCACUAGACCCAGUCCUCAAAAGAAGCAGGUCGCCUUUCAAGUACCAUCCUCUGAUGAUGAAGCUGAUGAUGAUGAACUCGCCGAAAUCAUCAGAGACAGACAGCAAAGGGCCACUAGAGCCAAAGGAAGUGAAGUUCCUCUCCUACUGGAUCCUAAGUUGAUCCUUGAAUACAUUGAUCUCUGGCACAAGGACCCCAACGCUCCUAUGCUAGACUUCAAGCUGACUUCUGGCCAAAGUCACAUGCUGACCGCCUUCAUAGGCGAAGAAAAAUGGAAGUUUGAGAAGGCCAGGCAGCUGAAGAAAGUGUAGUACAAGAAAGAGCACUAUCUGAAGAAGAAUGUUGUCAAGAUGACAAAUGAUGAACUUGUGGUUGUUCAAGUUGAGAUAAAAAACCUCGGUGAUGAAUUUGAUGCCUACCAUGCUGACUGGAAGGGAGCCAAAGUCAGAUUUGUGAAAUUAGCAAAGACAUUCACCCCCAAUGUUGCUACUCAAAUGCACAUUGAAAUUCCUCAGGCUGAUGCAUCUGCUUAGCCGACUGAAGAACAUGCCAGCACCGCUGAUGAAAAUCAGGCUGCUGAAGAAAAUGAGAGUACCAAGGCUAAUGACUGCAUUCCAGCUGCUGAUGACAUUGCCAGGGCAACCACUAGUGUUGCGCCUGAAGAACAAGCCAGGCUAGCUGAGGCAUCAACCGCUGAGCCUGAAGAAUCUGAACCAGCCAGGGCAACUACAUCAGUUGCGCCUGAGGAAACUGAACCUAUUUCCUCUGCUCCUCCCGCACCAACAACAAGUACAAUUCCUCCUUCUGCAUCAGAAGCGAAGAAAACCAAAGCCGCAGAGCGAGCAUCAGUGAAGAAAAGGAAAGCAUCUACUUCAUCUCAGUCUUUAGCACCGAAGAAGAUGAAGAAAUUGACCAGCUCUUUUGAGAAUCUAAUUGAUGCUAUUCCAGUUUCAAGCAUGCCAUCAAAGGAACUCGUUCCUUUUGGUGAAGAUUAUGUGAUCCCAAGCGGAUCGUAUGAAGACGUUCCUUCUGCUGCUUCUUCAAAGUAGUUAGACGAAGAAAUUGAAGCGGAUGAUAUCCAUUCAACUCCAAUCAUCUCACCGCCUAUGCCUCAGUUCACAGCUGAAGAGGCAGGCAUUGAAGAAUUAAAUGAAGAAGAUGAAGACGUGGAUAUUGGGUGCUCCACUCCAGUGCUAAAUGAUGACUAUUGGGAUAGUCAGCACCCCAACUCUUCGCUCUUCACCCCUCUACAACAAAUCCCUCAGUCCCCUGUGCACACUGAAGUUCUUAUGGGCUUUGAAGAACCUCGUAUUCCUGAAGCAAUCCAGCCACUAGUGCUGAUGAAAAUGCUACUGAAGCAAUUCCAGCCACUAGUGCUGAUGAAAAUAUUGAUGAAGAAAUGAAGAACCAGGCUGCAACUGAAAGUAAAAUUCCUCAGCCUGUGGUUCCGGAGAACGUGAUUCCUGAGGCCGUGAUGACUUUGAUAGACACUCCUCACCUCAAGCCGAAGAAUCCCUUCUCCAAGAAGCAAAAAAAUCAAGGCUACCGACUUCUUCCAUGAGCACGCAUUCUUCACAGAUUACAACCCAUAUGACUCUGCUUGUCUCUGAAGGAAGCGUUUCUGGACUGCCAGCCAAGCCAACUUCUAUUCUUCACUUCUUUUCAAUAAGGACAAAGUAUUUGAUCAUGCAAAAAUUCCUCAUGUGGACAUGGAAUCACUAUCUUGCUUCACGCUAGUCCUCAGUGUUCUUCACGAUGCUGGACUUCUCAACUUCUGCACAGAUAUAUGUGAUUGGAAUGAAGAAUUAAUUCUUCAGUUCUAUGCAACGCUACACAUCACAGGAAAUGCUAAAGAUGUGAACUCUUGGGUAUUGGAAUGGAUGACAGAGAAUACUCACUUCAAAGCACUGGCCUCUGAAUUGCUUCAUGCCCUGCCUGUCAGUCCUCCCCUUGAAGGUGCACGUUGUAUAUAUCAUGAACCUGAACUUACUAACCAUUAUAUGCAAGUGUUGAUGAAGCCGUUGAAGCCCGGUCUAGCCUCAAGAACUAAAUUCCUCGUGAAGGAAUUGUUGUAUGUACCAUGGACUGUAUAUCGCAUCUUGUCCAAGACUUUGAGUCCAAUCAAGGGCCAUGACUCUAAUGAAGAAGAGGUCGUUGGUAUCAUGAAGAAUUUGCUAUUCAACCUCAUUCAUGGCAUACCUGUCAACUACCAUGAUUUCUUCAUGAGGACUCUGGCAAAUGUAGCUUUGUCCCCUUUUGAGUUGAAGCCUUACGCUCCCUGGAUUAUGAGAUUCAUCAUAUCAAGGUCUUCAAUCAACUACAAGGCUAAUUUGUAGAAUCACGUCAGCUACUUGCCCCCAAUAGAAGUCCUCAAGCGGACAUUUUCCUCAGCUGAUGAAAAGGGCAAGGCUACAACUAUUAUUGAUGAAGGCAUUCGUCCAUUGGAUGGUCAGUUCCGCAAAGCUGCAUCAUAUUCCACCAAUGAUGACUCUGCCACUCAUGACUCUUCCGCCAAUGCCUCAAAGCAAAAUCCUCAAGGCAUGGCUCCAAUGGUGAUGACUGAUCGUGAGCUUCUCCUUAGUCUUCACCAGAAGAUCGAUCGCAACCACAAAUGGGUUAAGCGUCAGUUUGGUUCUAUUCUUCACAACAUGACUGCUACACACAAUGCAGUGAAGAAGAACCACUUCUACCUCCAUGAAGUAUUCAAUCGCACCUGGUUGUUCUGUCUCAUCUCUAUGGUAAAUAAGAUCUGAAGCAAAUGGGUUUCAACUAGGACUUUGAAUGGUCUCAACCACCAGCGAAUAAAUUCAAGAAAACCAAAGUUCCUUCCUUGGUAGCCAGCUCAUAUUCUUCAUCGCGCGAGACUGAUGAGCAUGAAGAUUUGGACGACACUGCGGCAGGCCCUACCUCAACAACUGACCCCAACAACGUUGGCGCUCCUUCAUCGACUCAGUGAUGAUAUUCUUCAGGAGCAUUAGUCCUCACUUUUCGUCCCUUUUGGUCAUUCAAUGACAAAGGGGGAGAAAUUUGAGAUAGUCUUCAAGCGGGUCUCUUUAUAUGGGCGUUUUUUCUUCUAAGUUACAACUCUCGUUCUUUUGAAAAUUUAUUGGAUUGAGUUGUAAACUUAAACCUGAUGGUGGUCUGAUACUUAUGCUAUGUUCUUCAGCAUUCUAUUUCCUCAUAUAUGUUAAUGCAUGCAUGCUGAAUCACAUAUAUCACCAUAUUUCAUCAUGCAUUUCAAAUUCUUCAUAUCAUAUGUUAAAUGCGUGUACGAAUUACAAGAUAUAGGGGGAAAUCUCCAUGAUUCUACUCUUCAAAUGUGCAUUGCUUCAAAAAGCAAAUUCCUCACUAUGCACAUCUUCAAGGGGAGUUCUUAUAUAUCUUGCAAUAAAAUUCCUCAAUAUCAGUACUUACACUUCGUAUGUUUAUCCCCGUUGAAAACUUAACCUAUUUUGUCAUGAAUCACCAAAAAGGGGGAGAUUGUAAGUGCAUCUAGUGCCCCUUAGUGAUUUUGGUGUAUUGAAGACUUAUAGGUUAAGGGACUAAUGCAUUUGUGAGUGUACACAGGUCUAUAAGUCUAUGGGGAGUUUGAUAUUUACAGAUAAAGUCGACCCCUAAAAAUGAAUGUCUUCGACUGAAGACUUUGGAUUUCCGAAGACUUUGGAAGUGAAGAAAUUGGUGCGACCGUGAGGACUUGUUAUUCAUACGAGGAACAUGAAGCGUGAAGACUUUUGUUUUCGUAGUUUCAUUUUAUCUUUCUUGAGUCAUAGGAAACACCGUACUGUUAAAGGGGGUCGAGGUAAAACUAAGGAAAAGUUUCCAAGUGAUGCUUAUCUCAAAAUCCUACACCUACCAAUCCGUUCGAGUGAAGCCAUUGGAAAUCUCAUACGGUUCAGUCAAUUUCUUUAAUGAUAGGGACGAAGUUCUUAUGGUCUCUUAGGAAUUUGUUCUGACGGAGGAGUUAGGAAUUCGCCAGUGUGGAUUGCCUACAAGUGAGGAACAUGAUAGCCCUAAGGAAUUUGAUAGUCAAAUCUCUGACCAUUGAUGUGCUACACCCCAGCUGUCCCAAAAUAUCUACCCACCUAACGGUCAUAUCAUUGAAGGGAAUUUAUGUCUUAUCAUGUCGGGCUGCUCCCUAGGCUAUAAAUAGCCGCCCCCUACAACCACUAGCUGGUUGGCUUCUCCGCGAGAAACUGACACUUGUCAUUGAGAGCAUCCCAUCCUCCGAGGACUUUGAGCGAAAAUCAUAAAGUGAGGAAAAACCCAAAACCCCAAACCAAACAUCUACAAACCCAAAGUGAUUGAGCAUCACUGAAGAGAUUGUUCCUGUGUGGAAACGACACUUGUUACCUUCGAGGACUGUGCAACCUCCAGACGGUUAGGUGUCAUGGUCUAGAGCAUCCAAGAGGAAAUUGUGGAUCGCAGGGUGACCAAGUUUGUGAAGGUUUGGAAGUCACCUGAAGACUUACCACGAGUGAUUGGACGAGGUCUGUGUGACCUUAGUUCAAGGAGAAUAUGGUGAGCACUGUGUGUUCGGGACUGUGUGUCCUCAGGUUUAAAUACCUAGCCGCUCUAACCAGACGUACAACUGUCACAAUAGUUGGAACUGGUCUACCAAAUCAUUGUCUUCACUAAGCUUACUGGUGCUAUUUCCUCAACCCUUUCAUUUCCUCAUUAUUGUGUUGUGUGCUUGUUCAUAUCUAUUUGAAGACUUUGACUGAAUACUUUCUCAAUUUCCCCAGUUCAAUUUCUUCAGUCUGUUUAUCUUCAUCCUGUUUUAUCCUAUGCUUACGCUUUCUGUACUCUGUGUCUGAUUUCAUUCCAUCAUGAUAUCCAUGUUUAUGUUAUGUCAUGUAUGCACCUCAGUACUAUCAGAUAAUGGGUUCCGGCAAAACCCUUGAGGUUUGAACACUGGGGUGCGCGCGAAGGUUUUCUCCCUAUCGAUCCGCGCUCUAGCUUGCUAAGAUCUCACGGACGAACUAGACGAACUUCACAAGACAAAGACACAAGAUUUAUACUGGUUCGGGCCACCGUUGUGGUGUAAUACCCUACUCAAGUGUGGUGGUGGUGGAUUGCCUCUUGGGCUGAUGAUGAACAGUACAAGGGGAAGAACAGCCUCCUGAUGUUGAGGUGUUCUUGUGCUUGGUGAACUUGUGUGGUUGGGGAUGAUCUUGAUGAUCCCUCCCCGCAUAUGGUGGUGGCUAGUCCUAUUUAUAGAGGCCCUGGUCCUCUCUCCCAAAUAUUGAGCAGGAAGGGAACCAACAACGGCCAAUUUGAAAGGGGACAACUAGUACAAGCUAUCCUGACAAAAGGUGGUCAUCGCCUGCCAAAGGUUCUGGUAGUGACGUCGUCUUGGGCUCCAUGGUGACCUCCGUCUUGCCGUCCUUCUGGUAUUGGUCUCAUUGCACCAAUAUGGAAACCUUUGCUUAAUGCCUUGGUACUCCGCGCCUGCGCUUUCCCCCUUAGCACCAAAGAGGAAACAAGGACACUGCGGGCGCUGGCGCCCGCCUGGUCUCGAUCGUCAUGGCUCACGUCACGAGGACCUCGCGAGGUUUGCCUUUCCUUGAUCUCUCCACCCCUCGCUGAUGUCUACUACACAACCUUCUUCUUGUAGACAUUGUUGGGCCUGCAAGUGCAGAGGUUUGUAGGACAGUAGCAAAUUUCCCUCAAGUGGAUGAACUAAGGUUUAUCAAUCCAUAGGAGGUGUAGGAUGAAGAUGGUCUCUCUCAAGCAACCCUGCAACCAAAUAACAAAGAGUCUCUUGUGUCCCCAACACACCCAAUACAAUGGUAAAUUGUAUAAGCGCACUAGUUCGGCGAAGAGAUGGUGAUACAAGUGGUAUAUGGAUAGUAGAUAAAGGUUUUUGUAAUAUGAAAAUAUAAAAACAGCAAGGUAACUAAUGAUAAAAGUGAGCACAAACGGUAUUGUAAUGCGUUGAAACAAGGCCUAGGGUUCAUACUUUCACUAGUGCAAGUCCUCUCAACAAUAAUAACAUAAUUAGAUCAUAUAACUAUCCCUUGAUACGCCUCCAACAUAUCUAUAAUUUUUGAUUGCUCCAUGCUAUAUUAUCUACUGUUUUGGACAUUAUUGGGCUUUAUUAUCCACUUUUAUAUUAUUUUUGGGACUAACCUAUUAACCGGAGGCCCAACCCAGAAUUGUUGUUUUGUGCCUGUUUUAGGGUUUCGAAGAAAAGGAAUAUCAAACGGAGUCCAAACGGAAUGAAACCUUCGCGAACGUGAUUUUCUCAAUGAACAAGACCCGGGAGACUUGGACCCUACGUCAAGACACAAAAGAGGAGGCCACGAGGUAGGGGGCGCGCCUACCCCCCCAGGCGCGCCCUCCACCCUCAUGGGCCCCCUGUUGCUCCACCGACGUACUCCUUCCUCCUAUAUAUACCUACGUACCCCCAAACGAUCAGAUACAGAGCCAAAAACCUAAUUCCACCGCCGCAACUUUCUGUAUCCACGAGAUCCCAUCUUGGGGCCUGUUCUGGAGUUCCGCUGGAGGGGGCAUCGAUCACGGAGGGCUUCUACAUCAACACCAUAGCCUCUCCGAUGAAGUGUGAGUAGUUUACUUCAGACCUACGGGUCCAUAGUUAUUAGCUAGAUGUCUUCUUCUCUCUUUUUGGAUCUCAAUACAAUGUUCUGCCCCUCUCUUGUGGAGAACUAUUCGAUAUAAUCUUCUUUUUGCGGUGUGUUUGUUGAGAUCGAUGAAUUAUGGGUUUAUGAUCAAGUCUAUCUAUGAAUAAUAUUUGAAUUCUCUGAAUUCUUUUAUGUAUGAUUGGUUAUCUUUGCAAGUCUCUUCAAAUUAUCAGUUUGGUUUGGCCUACUAGAUUGAUCUUUCUUGCAAUGGGAGAAGUGCUUAGCUUUGGGUUCAAUCUUGUAGUGUCCUUUCCCAGUGACAGUAGGGGUAGCAAGGCACGUAUUGUAUUGUUGACAUCGAGGAUAACAAGAUGGGGUUUUCAUCAUAUUGCAUGAGUCUAUACCUCUACAUCAUGUCAUCUUGCUUAAGGCGUUACUCUGUUUUUAACUUAAUACUCUAGAUGCAUGCUGGAUAGCGGGCGAUGAGUGGAGUAAUAGUAGUAGAUGCAGGCAGGAGUCGGUCUACUUGUCUCGGUCGUGAUGCCUAUAUACAUGAUCAUACCUAGAUAUUCUCAUAACUAUGCUCAAUUCUGUCAAUUGCUCAACAGUAAUUUGUUCACCCACCGUAGAAUACUUAUGCUCUCGAGAGAAGCCACUAGUGAAACCUAUGGCCCCCGGGUCUAUCUUUAUCAUAUUAAUCUCCUACUACUUAGUUAUUUCCUUUGAUUUUUUACUUUGCCUUUAUUUUACUUUGCAUCUUUAUCACAAAAAUACCAAUAUAUUAUCUUAUCAUAUCUAUCAGAUCUCACUCUCGUAAGUGGCCGUGUAGGUAUUGACAACCCCUAUUCACGUUGGUUGCGAGGAUUUAUUUGUUUUGUGCAGGUACGAGGGACUCGCGCGUAGCCUCCUACUGGAUUGAUACCUUGGUUCUCAAAAACUGAGGGAAAUACUUACGCUACUUUGCUGCAUCAUCCCUUCCUCUUCGGGGAAAACCAACGCAGCGCUCAAGAGGUAGCAAGAAGGAUUUCUGGCGCCGUUGCCGGGGAGAUCUACGCAAAAGUCAACAUACCAAGUACCCAUCACAUACCCUUAUCUCCCGCAUUACAUUAUUUGCCAUUUGCCUCUCAUUUUCCUCUCCCCCACUUCACCCUUGCCGUUUUAUUUGCCCUCUCUCUAUCCCCUCUCUUUCUCUAUUUGCCUCUUUUUGCCCGCUUGCUUUUUGUUUGCUUGUGUGUUAGUUGCUUGCUUGUCACAAUGGCUCAAGAUAAUACUAAAUUAUGCGACUUCACCAAUACCAACAACAAUGAUUUUAUUAGCACUCCGAUUGCUCCUCUUACCGAUGCUGAAUCUUGUGAAAUUAAUACUGCUUUGCCGAAUCUUGUCAUGAAAGAUCCGUUUUCCGGCCUUCCUAGUGAAGAUGCCGCUACCCAUCUAAAUAGCUUCAUUGAUUUGUGUGAUAUGCAAAAGAAGAAAGAUGUGGAUAAUGAUAUUGUUAAAUUGAAGCUAUUUCCUUUUUCACUUAGAGAUCAUGCUAAAGCUUGGUUUUCGUCUUUGCCUAAAAAUAGUGUUGAUUCAUGGAAUAAGUGCAAAGAUGCUUUUAUCUCUAAGUAUUUUCCUCCCGCUAAGAUCAUCUCUCUUAGAAACGAUAUUAUGAAUUUUAAGCAACUUGAUCAUGAACAUGUUGCACAAGAUUGGAAGAGAAUGAAACUAAUGAUACGUAAUUGCCCUACUCAUGGUUUAAAUUUGUGGAUGAUUAUACAAAUUUUUUAUGCCAGAUUGAAUUUUGCUUCUAGAAAUCUUUUAGAUUCGGCCGCGGGAGGCACUUUUAUGGAAAUCACUUUAGGAGAAGCUACUAAACUCCUAGAUAAUAUUAUGGUUAAUUAUUCUCAAUGGCAUACUGAAAGAUCUACUAAUAAAAAGGUGCAUGCGAUAGAAGAAAUUAAUGUUUUGAGUGGAAAGAUGGAUGAACUUAUGAAAUUAUUUGCUAAUAAGAGUGUUUCUUAUGAUUCUAAUGAUAUGCCCUUGUCUACUUUGAUUGAGAAUAAUAAUGAAUCUAUGGAUGUGAAUUUUGUUGGUAGGAACAAUUUUGGUAACAACGCGUAUAGAGGAAAUUUCAACCCUCGGCCUUAUCCUAGUAAUCCCUAUAAUAAUUAUGGUAAUUCCUACAACAAUUCUUAUGGAAAUUAUAAUAAGAUGCCCUCUGAUUUUGAAUCUAAUAUUAAAUAAUUUAUUACUUCACAAAAGAAUUUCAAUGCUUUGAUUGAAGAAAAAUUGCUUAAGAUUGAUGAUUUGGCUAGGAACGUUGAUAGAAUUACUCUUGAGGUUGAUUCUUUGAAACUUAGAUCUAUUCCACCUAAGCAUGAUGUCAAUGAGUCUCUCAAAGCCAUGAGAAUUUCCAUUGAUGAGUGCAAAGAAAGAACCGCUAGGAUGCGUGCUAAGAAAGAUGCCUUUAUAAGAGUGUGUUCUUCUAGUUCCUAUGAAAAUAAUGAUGAAGAUCUAAAAUUUAUUGAUGUGUCCCCUAUUAAAUCUUUGUUUUGCAAUAUGAAUCUUGAUAAUGAUGGGACUGAAUAUGAUCCACCUUUACCUAGAAGGCGUUCUAAGAAUUCAGAAUUUUUUGAUCUUGAUGCUAAAAUUGAUAAAUUUGGGAUUGAAGAAAUUAAAACCCUAGAUGUUGCUAAACCCACUAUUAUGGAUUUCAAGGAAUUUGACUAUGAAAAUUGCUCUUUGAUUGAUUGUAUUUCCUUGUUACAAUCCGUGCUAAAUUCUCCUCAUGCUUAUAGUCAAAAUAAAGCAUUUACUAAACAUAUCAUUGAUGCCUUGAUGCAAUCUUAUGAAGAAAAACUUGAAUUGGAAGUUUCUAUCCCUAGAAAGCUUUAUGCUGAGUGAGAACCAACUAUUAAAAUUAAAAUUAAAGAUCAUGAAUGUUAUGCUUUGUGUGAUUUGGGUGCUAAUGUUUCCACGAUUCGUAAGACUUUGUGUGAUUUGUUAGGUUUCCGUGAUUUUGAUGAUUGCUCUUUAAACUUGCACCUUGCGGAUUCCACUAUUAAGAAACCUAUGGGAAGAAUUAAUGAUGUUCUUAUUGUUGCAAAUAGGAAUUAUGUGCCUGUAGAUUUUAUUGUUCUUGACAUAGAUUGCAAUCCUUCAUGUCCUAUUAUUCUUGGUAGACCUUUCCUUAGAAUGAUUGGUGCAAUUAUUGAUAUGAAGGAAGGAAAUAUUAGAUUCCAAUUUCCAUUAAGGAAAGGCAUGGAACACUUUACUAGAAAGAAAAUUAAAUUACCUUAUGAAUCUAUUAUGAGAGCCACUUAUGGUUUGCCUACCAAAGAUGACAAUACCUAGAUCUAUCCUUGCUUGUUAUGCCUAGCUAGGGGCGUUAAACGAUAGCGCUUGUUGGGAGGCAACCCAAUUUUAUUUUAAUUCCUUGCUUUUUGCUACUGUUUAGUAAUAAACAAUUUAUCUAGCCUCUAUUUUGGUUGUGUUUUUUGUGUGUAAUUAGUGUUUGUGCCAAGUAGAACCGUUGGGAAGACUUGGGGAAAGUCUUGUUACACUUGCUGUAAAAAACAGAAACUUUAGCGCUCAUGAGAACUGCUGUCAUUUUUAUUUGAAAAGCGUUAUUUAGUUAAUUAUUUUUGCAGAUGAUUAAUAGAUAAUUCCUCACGUCCAGCAAUUUAUUUUAGAAUUUUUGGGGUUCCAGAUCUUGUGCUAGCUACAGAUUACUACAGACUAUUCUGUUUUUGACAGAUUCUGUUUUUCGUGUGUUGUUUGCUUAUUUUGAUGAAUCUAUGGCUAGUAAAAUAGUUCAUAAACCAUAGAGAAGUUGGAAUACACUAGGUAUAACACCAAUAUAAAUAAAUAAUGAGUUCAUUACAGUACCUUGAAGUGGUUUUUUGUUUUCUUUCGCUAACGGAGCUCAUGAGAUUUUCUACUUUAAGUUUUGUGUUGUGAAGUUUUCAAAUUUUGGGUAAAGAUUUGAUGGAUUAUGGAACAAGGAGUGGCAAGAUGUAACGCCCUCGAUGUGGCUAUAUCUCCCACGUGUCGAAGCACGACUUAGAGGCAUAACCGCAUUGAAAGCAAUGUCGCAAGUGAGGUAAUCUUUACAACAACCCAUGUAAUACAAUAAGGGAAAAGGAUAUAUAGUUGGCUUACACUCGCCACGUCACACAAUGCAUAAAUAAGUCAUUACAUUCAUCCAGAUACACUCAAGGUCCGACUACGGAACCAAAAUAAAGAUAAACCCCAAAUGCAACAUAAUCCCCGAUCGCCCCAACUGGGCACCACUACUGAUCAUCUGGGAAAGACACGUAGUAUCGUCCUGAGUCCUCAUCGAACUCCCACUUGAGCUCAGUUGAAUCUCUUGGAAUGGUAUCAUCGGUCCCUACAUCUGGUUUUGGAAGGAAUCUAUGAGUCACGGGGACUCAGCAAUCUCACACCCUCGUGAUCAAGACUAUUUAAGCUUAUAGGAAGGGUAAAAAUAUGAGGUGGAGCUGCAGCAAGCGACUAGCAUAUAUGGUGGCUAACAUACGCAAAUGAGAGCGAGAAGAGAAGGCAAAGGCACGGUCGAUGAACUAUGGUCAAGAAGUGAUCCUAGAACAAUCUACGAUCAAGCAUAACAUGAGACCGUGUUCUCUUCCCGGACUCCGCCAAAAAGAGACCAUCACGGCCACACACUCAGUUGAUUCAUUUUAAUUAAGUUAAGUUCAAGUCUUCUACAACCGAACAUUAACAAAUUCUCAUCUGCCCAUAACCGCGGGCACGACUUUCGAAAGAUCAAAUCCCUGCAGGGGAGUCCCAACUUAGCCCAUCACAAGCUCUCACGGUCAACGAAGGAUAUUCCUUCUCCCAAGACAAUCCGAUCAGACUCGGCAUCCCGGUUACAAGACAUCUUGUCGUGGAGUUGACACGACAAAUGUCCUAGAGCAAGGACUUAGUGGUAGGGCCAUCGCACUAGGAAGCUUAAAGGGGUUAAUCGGGACAAAGAACACGAGAGAGUUUUAUACUAGUUCGGCCCCUUACGAUGAAGGUAAAAGCCUACGUCUAGUUGGGAUUGGUAUUGCUGAUGUUUCGACUUCCAAGAGGCUCUACUCGCCGGCUUGGUUAUUGACUUGGUUGUUUCUUGCCCUAAACCGCCACCGGGUCGUCCCCUUAUAUACAUAGUUUGACGCCUGGUGGCUUACAGAGUCUCGGCUGGCUCAUAAUCGUGUCCGGCUCGGUGACUUCCUUUACAUGCCUUUCUUUACAAGUCUUUCCGCCCAUAUGGAGGUUUACAAUAGCGGGCUUUUAAGCCGGCCCGAGGCCUUUGGGAUUUCUAUAUAUACUAAUAAACUAUCAUCUUUACUGUAUAUUGGGCUUCUUAUGUAACCUACCAUUAAGGCUGACCCGGCCCCUCCUGGGCGGGUCUCAGCUGAUAGUAAUAUCCCCAACAUUAGGCCCCAGGUUGACUUUAAACGUUGUUCUUUGUCAAUCUUCAAUACUUAGGCAGAAUCCAUCCUCUGUCUGAAAAUUUCCUUAACCCGCCGUGACGUCAUCUUUUUGAAACACAACAAACUUUCAUGAUGUCAUCUUCCAACGGAUCUUUCAUUUUUAAUGCCUUCCGGGAAUCGAGGCGUCUGUUCAGUUGGAUAAUCAUUAUUGGGUCUCCUUGAUUUUCGCGCCCGCCUGUUCGCGCACUCCCUUAUAAAUAGGCAUAACUUGGGUCUUUCUCAUUCUCCUUUCUUCCUCAUCUUCUUCCUCUCGCAACCCUCGUCGCUGCUUGAGCUCUUCUGCCGCCGCAAGUCUCAUCGUCGUCGUCGAGCUUGGCCGCUGCAUCACCCUGAAUCCAUCCAGAAAACGCGGCGACUCUUCGCGGCGGGCCUGCAUCUUGUAAGUUUUCUUCUCUCUCACCCACCUAGAUAUGUUCUAGGUUUGCGAGUUCUUCAGUGUUCUUCAUCUGUUCAUCACAGACCAUCUUGUAGAUUUUCUCCGCAACUUCUUUUGAUCCAGAAAAGAUAUAUAACUUGCGGGGUAGCUGUUUGGCAUUCAUUUUGGAUAUCAGUAGAUCCCUUUUACCUGUGUAAAUGCUUCGUUACAGUCGAUGAACUCAUAUGUACUAUGUUUUUAGGUCUAGAAUAUUUCCCUUUUUGAAACAGCCUUUGAUCCAAAAUGAUAAUGACCACUUGGUGAAACUUGUUUAUGCCAACACUUAACUGAAUCUGCCCUCUGAGAAAAUCUGUAGUCAUGGCGGCUUACCACUCCGGAUUUCUUUUCCCUAUAUGUCAUUAGCCCUUAGUUAAACCGCCAUUACUUGCUUUAUAAUUGACCGUAGACUGAACCGACAUAUUAUUAUUUAUUUUUUAGUUCGUUGCACAUCAUGCCGUCAAAGUCACCCACCGUCUGUAAUUGGGUCCCUUCAUCUAUAACCAAGGAACGGUUAAAAGAGUUCUUCAUCGUUAGGUUUCUGCCUUCAAAGAAUGUCAUGUCUUAUUGUGCUCCUGACCUGGAGGAAGAUCGUCCCAAUCCAAAAGACGGAGAAGUGAUCAUCUUCACUGACCACAUGAACCGUGGCUUUUCACCGCCCGGUUCAAAAUUAUUCAGAGAGGUCCUUCAUUUUUUCAAACUCCAUCCUCAGGACCUUGGACCCAACUCUAUUUCCAACAUUUGUAACUUCCAAGUGCUCUGUGAGGCAUAUCUUCAGCAAGAGCCCACCGUAGAGCUGUUUAGAGAGUACUUUUAUCUGAAUCGUCAAAAUGAAUGCACCAACGGAUCUAGCUUAGAACUUGGAGGCAUCUCGAUUCAGCGCCGUCAGGGUGCCGUUUUUCCUCUCAUCGUCUUACCGAGCCACCCAAAGGACUGGAACCAAACUUGGUUUUAUUGUCAGGAUACUUCUCCAGCAAACGAGAAGUCUCUGCUGGGUUACCGCCCUAGUCGUCUUGACUCCAAGUUCACCCUUCCGGAUAAGCUUACUGUUGCUGAUAGGAAGCUUCUUCCCUCCAUUAGAAGAAUCAACGGCUUGUUGGGUAAUGGUUUAACCGGAGUAGAUCUGACCCGUUGCUGGAUCUCAUGGCGGGUUAUUCCAUUAAGUCGUCGAUCUCAACUGAUGUAUGAAUAUGACGGAAGCCUGGACAACCCUCUUCGUCACAGCCCAGUUGAACUCACCGAAGAAGACAUUGUUUCGAUGUCAACCCUUUUGGUAAAUGGGAAGUACGAAGAUUGCAGUAUUGUUGGGUUAAGUCCCUUCUGCAAGAUUAAUCCGGUGCCAUAAGUAAGUACAUUCUGAUCUCUUUUUCUUUGUGUUUUGCCCGGCUAUUAGUACUUAAUACUGAUCUUUCUUCUUGUCUUUAUAGGCCAAUUCUGACUUCUGGAAGGUGAAAUAUGACCACGAAGCUGCCAAGAAGGUGAAACUCGCCGCCAUGAACGCCAAGAAAACAGUCCGGAAAUCCAAGAAGAAGAAGAAGAAAACCACUGCUGAAGAUUUAAUGAAGCUUGACGACACGUCUGACUCAGAGGUAGCCCUUGACUCCCUUGGCCAAUUUUUUAACACUCUUAUUGACACUGAUCCUUACCAGGAUGACACUGGGGCCAGUCAGGCUGAGGAAGUAGAGGUAACUAUCAUUUCCUCCGACUCAGAGCCCUUACCAAGACACAAAGUUCGUCGAGUGAUCCAUAAAGUAAGGUUUUCUAACCCUUUAGCUCACUUGGAUCCCAACUUUCAUUUGAAAAACCAGCAACAUGAAAGCCGCCGUGAAGUUGGAAUUGAGGAUGAACCGGCUGUUGUCCUUCAACAGACCCCUCGGAAACACCCGAACGAGGUUUAAUUAUUACUGUCUUUAACCCGUUUUGAUGAAUCCUGCUCCUUACAUUUCUUUUAACUCUUUCCUUUAUCCAUUCAGGAGGUGUCUCGUUCUUCAGAUGACUCAUCUCAAACACAAUUUCUGGCUUUCAAGACUGCUCCUAGGUAAUCAGAACUUUUCCUUUCUUCCAGGUUGCUCAAUUGUAUCUUAACGCUGACAAUUCUGCUAUAUUAUUCUUUAGUGGCCAGGCUAAAUCCAAGAAAUCAAAGGUGGCUAAACCGGCGGAAGACCUGCCAAUACCAGCAUCUGAGCCGGCUAGGCCACCUUCUCCAUUAACUGCCGCCCCAGAAGACCCGCCUAUCAGUGAAGCAAAUACUUUAGAGCCGUCCCUUGACAACACCACUAUGAAUCCUUCCAUCGUUGGACCGUCAAGCUCAACUGACCCGCCGUCUCCACGUGUUCAAGAUGUUCAAAUUACUGGGAGUCGCUUCGUUGAGCCGGGGAACCCAACGGUGUUGGCUAGGUGCACAGCUAAGCAGGAAGCAUUGGAAAGGCAAAAGGUUCGCUUUGAUGUUGCCAAUUACGACCGUCUUAAUGCCAAUGAUAUCUUAUCCAGCUACCUCAGUCAUGUCCACUCCAGUCGUGAGUCUAAGAUCGAGAUGGUCAAGCAACUUCAGUUGAAGUAUGAGGUAUGUUAUUUCCGGUUUACCAAUAUUCCUUCAGCCCCCAAGUCUUCAGCUUUAUGAGAGAAGUGGAAUAACCUGUAGACUUAAAAUAUAGGCCGAGACUUUUACCUCUGAAUCAUUGCCUGAUAGAAACAAAACUUGACCCAUAGUCCCCAAGGACCGGUUUGUUUUGAGCAUUAAUGAAUCGGUACUUUUAGAAUUAAAACUGCCUUCAAAAUACUUAACACUCCGGUUUAAACUUGAAAAACUUGCUGAACUACGUGCAUUAGCCCCCAAGUGCCAAGUGCUGUUACUUUGUAAAGGACUUGGGACUUCAAAUAUGUUGGUAGAGUCAUAAAAAUUUGAUUUGGCAUACAUUAGCCCCCAAGUGUCAAGUGGUUUAUUCAUAAAGUACUUGAGACUUGAAUCUUGAAAUUGGAUACUGGAAUUUGAAACCAAGUCUUGAUUUAUCUGAAUGUUUUCACAGAAUGCAUUGUCUGAACUGAACUCCCAAUUGACGAAUACAAAGACCCGACUAGCGAACCAGGAAUCAGAAAUUAAAUCUUCCACCUCCCAACUGCAAAUAAGCCUUUCUAAAACGGAGAAGUUGAAGACCGACUUUGCUGUCAAAGAGAAAACUUGGGCAGAUGAGAAGAUACUUCUGACCCGGCGAGCUGAGACAGCCGAAACAGCUGUGAAGGAAAUUUCAACCAAACUGAACGGUUUAAAAGGCCGAGUGUCUCAGAUUGUCGUUGCUAUCUUUGGUAAGCUUCCUGAUUUGAUCUUUCAUAUGCGUUUCUUGUCAAACCGGAAUAUGAUCCGCCAACUGACUCUGUGAAAAAUGCAUGUAGGUCCGCGAAGUAAGAAUCUAAACCAAGACCCGUUGAUUAAGAUGAAAGCCGUAUACACUUUAACUGCACAAUUGUAUAUCGGCACACAACGAGCUCUGGCUGCCAUCUCUCCUAUUAAUCAAGGGUCUAACCGGAUCAGUGACGUCCUGAAGAAGCUGUCCAUUCUCCCUGCCAGAUUCCAAGAGGUGAAACGCUCAUGCGCGCGAGCCGGAGCUUUGACUGCCCUAAGCCGUUCCAAGGCUUGGGUACUAGAUCUAGACCCGGCAGACGUGGAAAGUGGUUAUCCUACCGUGAAGGAGGACGGGUCUCCUUUUGAUCAGGAUGACUUUAUAGCCUGCGUCCGUGAAGUCCGGCCUCAGGCGACUAGCCUUGGAGAUGACACCAAUGUGGACAAGUAUCAACCGGGUUUUGAUAGUGAGAAUAAGAAGAUGGCCCCUCCUUCCUAUAAAGUAACCGACUUGAUCCCACUGGUGAGAGAAGACACAUUUGCCCCGGAGGUUGACCCGGUUGGCCUGAUUGACGAUGAAGCUGAAUUUGUCGCCAUGAACGGCUAUGACUGGUCAAAACCCAACUUCCAGCAGAUUCAAGAUGUUGAGCCGGCGAGGGAGGGACAAUGAUCAUCUUCAUAGGCUUUAUAAAACCUUGUAAUAACUUAUCUGCUAAAACACUGCCUGUUUGCUUGUGCCAUUGUGCACAAAACACUUAUAUGUGAAUCCGUGUUUCAGAUAUCAAUGUAUGCUUAUUUAAUGUUUUCCUCUACAAUGGUUGAACUCUGUUCCUGUGAAUACAGGAAAAAGACUAGCAAGGCGGUUUAGAAAAACUAGGCUUUAAAUACCUUAUGUACAACCUAUAAAGUUACCUUUUCCUUGUUGAUCCUUAGAUUGCCGGUUUACAUAACCCGGGUGAUAAAUUGAUAAUUCAAUAUGCGUGAAGAGUUAAUACUCCUUGAAUACUCAAUGAUCAUCAUAACUUAAUAGCUCGUACCUUCGAAUCUUUGAACCACCGGUUUGAAUAAUCUGAGCGGCUGUGUUGUCCAAUGAUUGAGCCAGCGAAGAAAACCAGGCUAUUUUAUUUGAAACAACAAAAACUCAAAGGCAAGCAACAGAUAAUAACAUAAUUUUAACUCUGCAUUUCAAAAGGUUGGGUGGUUUCUAAUUCGAAUACGAUCAGUAAACCGGACCAAAGGGGUUAAGCUAAGGUUCGAAUACGACCAUAUAGCCCCCAGUGGCUUUGGCGUUGCGCCGAUCAAGUGGGUACCGACAACUAUGUUCUCUUUGGUUCGAAUACGACCUAUGUUUGAACAGGAAGCCCCCAAAUGACCUUGAGAGGUUUUUAACGACCCUGAUUCGAAUAUGAUCCAAGUCGGACUCAAAAGGGGUUGAGCUAUGAUUCGGAUACGGUCAAGAAGCCCCAAAGUGAGUUUGGCCUUGAGCCGAUCAAGAGGGUUACGACAACUAUGUUCUCUUUGGUUCGAAUACGACCUAUGUUUGAACAGGAAGCCCCCAAAUGACCUUGAGAUUUUCAGCUAGAUUCGGAUACGAUCCUGAGCUGGACCAAAAAGGUUAAACUUGAUUCGAAUAUGAUCAGCUCCUUAAUAGUCAUUUGUAAGAAAUAACAAUACCAAAGAUGCAUAGUCUUUGAAAAGAAAAGAGACCGAUGGUCUUACUUUAUUGCUUAUCAUAGUAUAUAAAAGGUGAACGUAUGUACAUGAUGGAAGCCGGUGGCUCAGGUGUAGUAUGGCCGGAGUUGAGCAAUGUUCCACGGCCGGCGGGUCUCUUCCUCCGACUUACGUGAGUCCUUGUGCUCUCGAACGUCAAUGAGGUAAUAUGACCCGUUGUUUAAAUUCUUACUGACCACAAAAGGUCCUUCCCAAGGUGGGGAUAGCUUGUGCGCGUCUGACAGAUCCUGGAUGAGCCGGAGCACCAAGUCGCCUUCCUGAAAGGUCCUGGACUUAACCCGGCGGCUGUGAUAAUGACGCAGGUCCUGUUGAUAGAUUGCUGACCGUGCUGCUGCUAAGUCUCUUUCUUCAUCCAACAAGUCAAGCGCAUCUUGUCUGGCUUUUUCAUUGUUAGCUUCAACAUAAGAUGCCACACGGGGCGAGUCAUGACGGAUGUCACUCGGCAACACUGCUUCUGCUCCAUAGACCAUGAAGAAAGGUGUGUAACCCGUAGACCUGUUGGGUGUAGUAUUGAUGCUCCAUAACACUGAAGGUAACUCCUCGACCCAACAACCCGGCGUUCGCUGUAAAGGAACCAUGAGCCGGGGUUUUAACCCUUUCAAGAUUUCCUGAUUGGCUCUCUCUGCUUGACCAUUGGAUUGAGGAUGAGCUACCGAAGAAACAUCAAGCCGGAUGUGCUCUCGCUGACAAAAUUCUUCCAUAGCUCCUUUAGAUAGAUUGGUGCAAUUGUCUGUGUUGAUACUGUGUGCAAAACCAAAACGGAAGAUAACUUUUUUCAUGAACUGAACCGCCGUGGCCGCGUCACACUUACUCAUAGGCUCCGCCUCAACCCACUUAGUGAACUUGUCAACUUCUACUAGGAGAUGUGUCUUUUUAUCCUUAGACCUUUUGAAAGGUCCUACCAUGUCAAGCCCCCAGACUGCGAACGGCCAAGUGAUUGGAAUCAUCCAGAGUUCCUGAGCCGGCACAUGCGCUCGUCGUGCGAACUUUUGACAUCCAUCACAUCUACUGACCAGAUCUUCUGCAUCAGCGUGAGCCGUCAACCAGUAAAAACCGUGACAAAACGCCUUGGCCACCAAAGAUUUUGACCCGGCAUGAUGACCAAAAUUGCCUUCAUGGAUUUCCCGAAGAAUUUCUUGACCUUCUUCGGGGGAGACACAUCGUUGGAACACUCCAGAAACACUGCGAUGAAACAACUCUCUGUCCGAAAUCUUCAUGGACUUAGACCGUCGGGUUAUCUGUCGAGCCAGGGUCUCAUCUGCUGGCAAUUCUCCCCGGGUCAUGUAAGCCAAGAACGGCACCGUCCAAUCCGGGAUAACAUGAAGAGCCGCCACCAACUGCGCCUCCGGGUCAGGAAUAGCUAAAUCUUCUUCUGUGGGCAACUUGACAGAGGGGUUAUGCAAAACAUCUAAAAAGGUGUUGGGUGGCACCGGCUUACGUUGACACCCCAGCCGGCUUAAAGCAUCAGCUGCUUCAUUUUUUUGAUGGUCAAUGUGUUCCACUGAUAACCUUUAAAAUAUCCUGCAACAGCAUCAACCUCUCGGUGAUAAGCCACCAUGAGAGGGUCUUUGGAAUCCCAUUUGCCAGAUACCUGCUGAGCCACUAGAUCUGAAUCACCAAGACAUCUGACCCGGCUCAAGCUCAUCUCCUUUGCCACUCGAAGACCAUGGAGCAAUGCUUCAUACUCUGUUGUGUUGUUAGUGCACGGAAACAUCAAUCAUGACACAUAACAAAAUUUAUCACCUCGUGGGGAAGUUAAUACAACUCCAGCCCCCGAGCCUUCUAAUUGCCUGGACCCAUCAAAAUGAAUAGUCCAAUAUGUGUUGUGCGACUUUUCUUCUGGCAUCUGCAUCUCUGUCCAGUCAUUGAUGAAGUCAACCAGAGCUUGAGACUUAAUCGCGGCGCGUGGAACAUACUUCAGCCCAUGAGACCCAAGCUCAAUUGCCCACUUGGCAACUCGCCCUGUAGCUUCUCUAUUUUGAAUAAUGUCUCCCAAAGGAGCAGAGCUAACCACAGUGAUUGGAUGUCCCUGAAAGUAAUGCUUAAGCUUCCGGCUUGCCAUGAACACCCCAUAAACAAGUUUCUGCCAAUGUGGAUAUCGUUGCUUAGACUCAAUUAACACUUCACUGACAUAAUAAACCGCCCGCUGAACCGGAUGCUCUUUGCCAGUCUCCUUGCAUUCUACCACCAUGGCCACACUAACAGCCCGUGAAUUUGCAGCUGCAUACAACAAUAGCGGCUCUUUCUCAAUUGGAGCAGCUAGGACCGGCGGCUCAGCCAGUUGUGCCUUCAGAUACUCAAAAGCGGCGUCUGUAGCAUCGCUCCAAACAAACACAUCCGUUUUCUUCAUCAACUGAUAUAGAGGCAUAGCCUUUUCCCCUAACCGGCUUAUGAACUGGCUCAAGGUAGCCACACGACCUGCCAGUCGUUGAACAUCAUUGAUGCAGGUUGGUUUGGCCAGAGAUGUAAUUGCCUUGAUCUUUUCCGGGUUAGCUUCAAUACCUCGGUUAGACACCAGAAAACCCAAGAGCUUGCCGGCUGGUACCCCAAAAACACACUUGGCCGGGUUAAGCAUCAUCUUGUAAACUCGAAGAUUAUCAAAAUUCUCUUUCAGGUCUGUGAUCAAGGUUUCCUCUUCCCUGGACUUCACCACUAUACCAUCCACAUAAGCAUGAACAUUGCGCCCAAUUUGAUCAGGAAGACAAUUCCGCACACACCGUUGGUAAGUCGCCUGAGCACUCUUGAGCCCUAAAGGCAUAGACACAUAGCAGAAAGCCCCAAAAGGUGUUAUAAACGUUGUUUUCUCUUGAUCCUUGACUGCCAUCUUAAUCUGAUGGUACCCGGAAUAAGCAUCUAAAAAACUCAACCAUGCGCAACCCGCCGUAGCAUCAAUGAUCUGAUCAAUAUGGGGAAGAGCAAAAGGAUCAGCCGGACAGGCCUUGUUUAAAUCUGUGUAAUCCACACACAUAUGCCAGGUGCCAUUCUUUUUGAGCACGAGCACCAUGUUAGCUAACCAUUCUGGGUGAAAGACCCCCACAAUGAACCCGGCCGCCAAGAGCCAGGCCACCUCUUCUCCAAUGGCCUUGCGCCUUUCUUCAUUGAACCGCCGAAGAAACUGUCUGACAGGCUUGAACUUUGGAUCGAUAUUAAUAGUGUGCUCAGCGAGUUCCCUCGGGACACCCGGCAUGUUUGAAGGUUUCCAUGCAAAGAUGUCCCGGUUCUCACGGAUGAACUCGAUGAGCGUGCUUUCCUAUUUCGGAUCCAAGUUUGCGCUCAUGAUGAACUGUUUGGAUGAAUCGCCAGUCACAAAGUCAACCAUCUUAGUGUCAUAAGCUGAUUUGAACUUCAACUCCGGCUCAUGCUCUGUGGUUAGUUUCUUUAAUGACGUCAUGUCCGCCGGGUCAACAUGAUCCUUGUAGAAUUUCAACUCCUCUGUCGCACAAACAGAUUCAGCAUAGGCAUCAUCCCCUUCUUCACAUUCCAAGGCUAUCUUCCGGCUCCCAUGGAUUCUAAUGGUGCCCUUGUGACCCAGCAUCUUGAGCUGCAAAUAUACAUAACACGACCGAGCCAUGAACUUGGCAUAAACCGGCCGCCCAAACAGAGCAUGAUAUGGGCUCUUGAUUUUAACCACCUCAAAGGUUAAUUUUUUUGCUCUGGAGUCAUACUCAUCUCCAAAAGCUACUUCCAGCUUGAUCUUACCAACUGGGUAUGCCGACUUACCAGGCACCACACCAUGAAAAACAGUUUUGGAUUGUUUAAGAUUUUUAUCUGUCAAUCCCAUCCGGCGAAACGUCUCAUAGUAAAGGAUGUUGAUGCUGCUGCCUCCAUCCAUGAGUACCUUAGUAAAUUUGUAUCCACCCACUUGAGGUGCUACUACUAACGCCAAGUGACCCGGAUUAUCAACCCGGGGAAGGUGAUCCUCUCUGCUCCACACAAUGGGCUGUUCCGACCAACGUAAAUAACGUGGAACUGCCGGCUCAACGGCAUUGACGGCCCUCUUGUGGAGUUUCUGGUCUCUCUUACAUAAAUUGGUAGUAAAGACACGAUACUGUCCACUACUCAACUGCUUCGGGUUGCUCUGAUAGCCGGAUUGUUGCUGCUACUGAUUCCCUUGGCCGUGUUGCUGAUUAUAUCCUCCCUGGUGACUAGGGCAAUCAUGAAAACCUCCUCCGCUUGAACCGGCGCCCGGGCCAUGAAAGCCGCCUGAGCCGCCGCCCGGGCCGUGAUCCCCAUCAAAUGUGUUUGAUUUUUUAAACGCCUUCAUGAUCGUGCAAUCCUUCCACAAGUGGGUAGCUGGCUUCUCCCGGGUGCCGUGUCUUGGACACGGUUCAUUCAACAACUGCUCAAGGGUGGGGCCUGACCCGCCCGAUCGAGGGGGCUGUCUGCCCUUGCGCCGUUGAUUACCACCCUGCGCAUUAGUAUUAGCAACAAACUCAUCAGCCUUACGCUUAUUACCUCCUUGAUUUGCCGGGUUAUGCUGGUGACCCUUGCCAUUGCCGUUCUUCUUCCCCUUCGUUGCCUUUUCUUCAUCAGACACCGGGUCUUUGGUAGUAUCAGAAUCGGCAUACUUGACAAGAGCCGCCAUCAAUGUUCCCAUGUCAUUACAUUCACGUUUAAGCCGCCCCAACUUCUGCUUCAGAGGUUCAAAAUGGCAAUUUUUCUCCAACAUCAAAACUGCCGAGCCGGCGUCCAUUUUAUCAGACGAAUGUAUUAUCUCCUUGACCCGGCGCACCCAAUGGGUUGUAGAUUCUCCAUCCUCUUGCUUGCAAUUGGUCAGGUCCACAAUUGACAUUGGCUGUUUACACAUGUCUUUAAAGUUCUGGAUGAACCGUGCCUUCAACUCUGCCCAUGAGCCGAUGGAAUUGGGCGGUAAUCCUUUCAACCAGGUCCGAGCCGUUCCAUCCAACAUCAUGGUAAAGUACUUGGCCAUUGUAGCAUCACUAACCUCCAACAGCUCCAUAGCCAUCUCAUAACUCUCAAUCCAAGCCCCCGGCUAUAAGUCAGCCGUGUAGUUAGGUACCUUACGAGGUCCCUUGAAAUCCUUGGGCAACCGUUCAUUGCGUAUGGCUGGGACCAGGCAAGGUACGCCUCCGGUUCUCGUAACCACUCCUGCCUCAACUGAAGUUGCUGGGUAAGCCAGAAAGGUUUGGUGAGCCGCCUGCUCUGCCGCUAUCUGAGCCGCCCGUUCCGCCUCUUGACGAAUCCUCUCCUGAUCCGCCAAGUUGAGGCUCCAGCCCACACCGGCUCAUGCCUAUAUGGCCGGUUGUGGCGUUGAGCAUUACUUGACAUCUCUGCAGAUUCCAUGUGCCUACUGUAACUCGGGCUCCGGCUUGGGCGAGGAGUUGAAUGAAUCCUAUCUCGACUAUAGGAGUAUGCAUCCUGCUGGGCCAAAGCUGUCUGAAGUAGUUCUCUUACCCUCCGGGUUUCAAUUGCUGCUAGCGAGUCGCCUUCCAUCGGGAGAGCUGCCAAACGAGCUGACGCCGCAAUGAGGUUCUCCAUGGGGUUGGAGAAGUGACCCGGGGGUGUUGCUAUAUAACGAGGAGGAGCUGUAUUUAUGCGCGGCGGCUCCAUGGUGCGUGGCUGAACUGGUGCACCGGGCGUCGUGACCUGGUUUGCCUCUGGCGGGUUGCUCCCUCCAGCUCCGGGUGUAUGGAACAGAUUCCUCGGAUCCAACGUUAGAGGCAGAUGCGACUGAGUUUUCUGACGCCUCCUCCUCAUGACCUCGUUUGAUGCAUUAAGAUCCACCGAGAGCCGGAAGGUUUCUGCUUGAAGCUGCUGAGCACGAGCAUCCAAAGUUGCUCGUUCUACUGCCAUUCGGGUUUCCUCCGCGGCUAGAUUUUCGUUAGCUUGCACCAUCUCUUCCCGCACGCAUGCCACUUCCGCAUCAUGCUGGGCUUUAUCCGUCGGCUCUACCAUAGCGGUUAACAGCGUCGUCAGUUUAUCCAUGAGGUCCAUGAGAACCCGAGCCGGGGGGCGCGCGGGGUCUCCUGACCCGGCAGCUGGCGACCCGGUGGCCGCCGCUGUCGCUGCGGUGGAGUUCUACCCGGACUGUGUCCCUGCCAUGAAGACUCCGGCCCAAUUCGGCGGCUCAAGGGGGUCCAGAAUACUGCUGCCAUCGGAACAGCCCCCGAGCAUGCCGUCUUGCAGUUGGUACAAUGAGUUCGUCUCACCUGUUGAUGAUGCAGUAUCAGAGCAGAUGGCCGUCUCCCCGCCUUCCAUCGCCUUCGGAGUAUUCACCGCCAUGGAUGCAGCCUACAAAGGCAUGCUUCAUGACAGAUUGAACACGGGCGGACCCGACAUGCUGAGCCGUUUCGAUGAGGUCGGUGUGGACAUCCAGCUCAGGGCCUGACUCGUCGAUCCGGCCGAUGAAGACGUGAAUUCCACCGAAGGGGACCUGGUACCCGUACUCGAUUGAGCCGGCCUCGGGGCCCCAGCCUUCGUCGUCGAUGUAGAUCUUGCCGCGAUGACUCUUGGUCAUCCGGCCCACAACGUAUCCCUUGAGCCCUUUGAAGUUGCCCUUUAAGAACUCAAAUCCACCGUGCGCUGGCCCCACGGUGGGCGCCAACUGUCGUGGAGUUGACACAGCAGAUGUCCUAGAGCAAGGACUUAGUCAUAGGACCAUCACACUAGGAAGCUUAAAGGGGUUAAUCGGGACAAAGAACACGAGAGAGUUUUAUACUAGUUCGGCCCCUUACGAUGAAGGUAAAAGCCUACGUCUAGUUGGGAUUGGUAUUGCUGAUGUUUCGACUUCCAAGAGGCUCAACUCGCCGGCUUGGUUAUCGACUUGGUUGUUUCUUGCCCUAAACCGCCACCGGGUCGUCCCCUUAUAUACACGGGUUGACGCCUGGUGGCUUACAGAGUCUCGGCCGGCUCAUAAUCGUGUCCGGCUCGGUGACUUCCUUUACAUGCCUUUCUUUAAAAGUCUUUCCGCCCAUAUGGCGGUUUACAAUAACGGGCUUUUAAGCCGGCCCGAGGCCUUUGGUCUUUCUAUAUAUACUAAUAAACUAUCAUCUUGACUUUAUAUUGGGCUUCUUAUGUAACCCACCAUUAAGGCUGACCCGGCCCCUCCUGGGCGGGUCUCAGCUGAUAGUAAUAUCCCCAACACAUCUCGACAAUGGUAAAACAAGUCCAGCAACACCGCCCGAAUGUGCCGACAAAUCCCGAUAGGAGCUGCACAUAUCUCGUUCUCAGGGCACACUCAGAUGAGCACUCCGUAUAACUAAAACCAAACCUCGAGUUUCCCCGAGGGGGCGCUGCAAAGGGCUUUAAUGUGGACCAACACUCAGAGGAGCACUGGCCCGGGGGGGGGGGGGUUAAAUAAAGAUGACCCUCGGGCUCCGGAAACCCAAGGGAAAAAGAGGCUAGGUGACAAAUGGUAAAACCAAUGUUGGGCAUUGCUGGAGGAGUUUUAUUCAAGGCGAACUGUUAAUGGGUUCCCAUUAUAACCCAACCGUGUAAGGAACGCAAAAUCAAGGAACAUAACACCGGUAUGACGGAAACUAGGGCGGCAAGAGUGGAACAAAACACCAGGCAUAAGGCCGAGCCUUCCACCCUUUACCAAAUAUAUAGGUGCAUUAAAAUAGACAAGAUAUAAUAAUGAUAUCCCAACAAUAAACAUGUUCCAACAAGGAACAACUCCAAUCUUCACCUGCAACUAGCAACGCUAUAAGAGGGGCUGAGCAAAGCAGUAACAUAGCCAAACAACGGUUUGCUAGGACAUGGUGGGUUAGAGGUUUGACAUGGCAAUAUGGGAGGCAUGAUAAGCAAGUGGUAGGUAUCGUAGCAUAGGCAUAGCAAAAGAGCGAGCAUCUAGCAAGCAAAGAUAGAAGUGAUUUCGAGGGUAUGGUCAUCUUGCCUGCAAAGUUCUCUGAGUUGACUUGAUCCUCGUAAGCGUACUCAACGGGCUCCUCGAUCACGUACUCGUCUCUUGGCUCUACCCAAAGAAAAACACAAGCAAAGGGAUAACACAAUCAACCACGUGCAAUGCACAAGCAACAUGAUGCAAAACAUGUCAUGAGAUGCGGGAUGCGGUGCAUAUGCAUGAUUUGGAAAGGAAUGAUUGAACCUGGCCUCAACAUGGAAAUCCAAGAAUGCCACUAGAAAGAGGAGUUGAUUUCAGUCGAAAUCGAUAUAAAGAUCACCGGAAUCGGAUGCACGGGUUGGAAAUGACAAGCAAAACAAAUAUGGCACCGGUCUGCGAUUAACAGCACGAGACCAUCUAAAUGCAUCAAGAACAACAUGCUACAACACUCCAACAUGACAACAAAAUAGAUGGCAGGGAUCCACUCAAGAUGCUUGACAAAAGAUGAACACUGAGCUAUGGCUAACUCACUCAAUAGCAGGUUCGAAGAAGCAUGGCAAAAGUGCAAAAGAUAUCAGGUUUCAGAUUUACUGAAAUUAACAGCAUGUCAGGAAUUUAACAUGAAGAAGCAAUCUUUAGAGGAAGAAAACUAGAUGCUAGAGGAACAUAUCAUGGCAAAGCAAGGCAUGGAAUGAAGCUACGCAAAGUAUACAACAAAAGUCCCUUACUGACCAUAAGCCAAAAGGGAUCAGAAAAUACAAUUGCAACCACACGAACAUAGCAAUUAUCGUUAACAGAUUCAGACUUGGUGAAAAACUGGAACAUGGCAAAACAGAUAACAAGUAGGCAUGUUUAUGAGCUCAAUGCACUCACUACGAGGCAUUGCAUGACAAACUAAGAGUACACCCAGCAAGUAGACAUGGCAUAGAAUCUAGACAUGGCAAGAACAACAUCAUAGCAUGCACGGAUCAACUACAACACCCUCGGCAAAAGUGCUAAACAUGUUAACAAUAUGCCAGGAGCAUUUUAUAGCAAAAGUAGAGCUCGAUUGACUCAAGCUAGGGUGCUCCAUAAAUGCAAACAAAGACAUGGAUGGAUAGAGUACCACAAUAUCUACAAAACAUCCUUACUGAUCAUGCUCAAAAGAGGCAUGGAUCACUAGGUAUCAACAUGAACACAUGACAUAAAAAUACAGACAGGACAGAGACUUAGAAUAUUUCUAAGUCCCUGAAAUCAGCAAAAUUAAGUGAGCUACUUUGCAUGCUUGUGCUAGUCACCACAGAGAUCACAAAAAUACAUGGCAUACACUCCUGUAAAGAUGCCAUGGCAUACUCCAAAACACAUGUAGAGCUCAAGUUCAUAGCAUGCACACAUUAACCAUGGCAAAAAUGACAAAAGUACAAAUGCUGAUAAGGAUCUGAAACUAACAUCACAUAGCCCUCUUCCAACAGCAUUUCGAGCAUCAAGAUGAGCUCAAAUGAAAAUGAUGCAAUGAGAUGAAAUGGAGUACUCGUCGAGACGAACAUUUCGAUAUGCUACACGCACGAAUCGGAGCCACGGUGAUGAAGUUAUGAUGCGUCAAAUUAUGCAUAAAAUAUCUGGGAUAUGGCAUUAGGUCAACCGACGUGGAUCUAGAUCUGGAUCAAGAUCUCGCUGGAGCACUAUAGCAGUUCGCCGGAGAUGGAGUUCGUCGCUGGACUUGGGGUUCACCGGAGAGGAAGCGGUCGGCCAGGGCGGGUCGAUGGCGUGGAGGAGGUGGCGCCGGACGGCGACGUUGCGGCGAGGCGCGAUGGAGACGGGGCCGCCUCGAGCGGCGCGGGCGUCGAGGGGGCGCUGCCGUGGCGGAGGUCGACGGCGGCGGGGUUGGCGGUCGCCGGCGAGGGCGUGGCGGCGACGGUCAGGCGAGGUGGUGGUGCUCGGGCGUGAGGAGGAAGACGCGGGCACGGGCGUCGAGCGGUUCCGGCCCGGUCGGCGGAGGAGACGGCCGGCGCUGGGCCUGGCGGCGGAGGAGGCCGGCGGUGCCACAUGGCGGCGCUUGGCUGGCUAGACGCGACGGGCGGACGCGUACGGUAGCGGCCGGACGUGUUCGAUGGCGGCAGAGCUGAUUUUUAGGGUUAGGGGUGGAGGAGACCCGAAAUUUUCGGGGAUGGACCUAUUUAUAGAGGUAGAGGGAGUUAGGAAGCUCCAAAUGAGGUGCGGUUUGCGGCCACGCGAUCGUGAUCGAAUGUCCUAGGUGAUGGAGGGGGUUUAGGUGGGUUUUGGGCCACUUUGAGAGGUGUUGGGCUGCAACACACACGAGGCCUUUUCGGUCCCUCGGUUAACUGUUGGAGUAUCAAACGAUGUCCAAAUGGAACGAAACUUGACAGGCGGUCUACCGGUAGUAAACCAAGUUCGCAUGAAAAGUAUCGGUCCAAUCCGGGAACGUUCAACACCCGCACACGAAAAAAGGUAGAAAGGGACAUCGGAGGACAUAGGAGCGUCGGAAUGCAAAACGGACAACGGGGAAAAUGCUCGGAUGCAUGAGAUGAACACGUAUGCAAAUGCAAUGCACAUGAUGACAUGAUAUGAGAUGCAUGACAAAGACAAAAGCACACGGAGACAAAAACCCGACAACGAGGAAAUAACAUAACUUAGUGCCGGAAAUGGCAAGAGUUGGAAUACAAAUAAAGUAGGUUACAUACGGGGUGUAACAACACUCCACCACUACGAAAGGAUCUCGUCCCGAGAUCUAGGACUGGAAAAACUCCGGGUACUCAGAAUGGAGGUGAUCCUCGCAUUCCCAGGUGGCUUCACGGUCGGAAUGAUGUGACCACUUGACUUUCAGGAAUUUGAUAGACUUGUUACGAGUCUUGCGCUCAGUUUCUUCAAUAAUAGCAACUGGGUGCUCAUGAUAAGAUAGGUCUUCUUGGAGAUCAAUGUCUUCAAAGUUGACGGUGCGGUCAGGAGUCUUGAAACACUUGCGGAGUUGAGACACGUGAAACACGUCGUGCACAUUUGCAAAGUUGGAGGGAAGCUCAAGUUGAUAGGCGAGGUCGCCUCUCUUGCUGAUGAUCUUGAAAGGACCCACGUAUCUAGGGGCAAGCUUCCCUUUGAUACCGAAGCGACGAGUACCUUUGAUUGGAGAGACACGGAGGUAGACAUGGUCUCCGAUGUCGAAAGCCAAGUCACGAUGCUUGCUAUCAUAGUAACUCUUCCGGCGUGAUUGCGCGGCUUUGAGAUUAUCACGAAUGACUUUGCACAUUUCUUGUGCCUCAAUGAUCAAGUCAUUGCCAAGAAGUUGAUGUUCACCAGUAUCUGACCAGUUAAGAGGAGUACGGCACUUCCUGCCAUAGAGAAUCUCGAAUGGGGCCUUGCCCGAACUCGCUUGGAAGCUGUUGUUGUAGGAGAACUCGGCAUAUGGAAGACAAUCUUCCCACUUCAUACCGAAAGAGAUGACACAAGCCCUGAGCAUAUCUUCAAGAAUCUGAUUUACUCGCUUGACUUGGCCGCUGGUUUGAGGAUGAAAAGCUGUGUUGAAGCGAAUGUUGGUGCCCAUGGCCUUCUGAAAAGAAUCCCAAAACUUGGAGGUAAAGAUGCUGCCACGAUCUGAAGAUAUCAACUGCGGAAUGCCGUGCAGAAAGACAAUCCUGGAGGUAUAUAGCUCUGCCAACUGAGCUGUUGUGAUAGAUUCUUUGAUAGGAAGGAAAUGAGCCACUUUAGUGAGCUUGUCGAUGACAACGAAGAUAGCAUCAUUGCCACGCUUGGACUUUGGAAAUCCAGUCACGAAGUCCAUCUCAAUAUGGUCAAACUUCCAUUCUGGAAUGGCAAGAGGUUGGAGGAGACCAGCUGGUCGUUGGUGUUCUGCUUUCACUCUUCUGCAUACAUCACAUUCAUUCACAAACUGAGCAAUCUCGCACUUCAUUCGAGUCCACCAAUACGACUGCUUGAGGUCCUGGUACAUCUUUGUACUUCCAGGGUGGAUAGAGAGGAGUGAAUUGUGAGCCUCGUUCAUAAUGACUUUAUGAAGGUCACCUUUAGGAACAACAAUGCGAUCCUCGAAGAAUAGAGUAUCCUUGUCAUCAAGGCGAUAGCACUUGUACUUGGGUUGACUCUUGGCAAUCCCAAUCUUCACCUUCUUCACCAUAGCAUCAAGAAGUUGAGCCUCACGAAUCUGAUCUUCCAGAGUAGGAGAGACUUGGAGGUUGGCGAGGAAACCUUGAGGAACAACUUGAAGGUUGAGUUUGCGGAAAGCUUCACAAAGCUCUGGUUGGUAAGGCUUGAGAAUCAAACUGUUGCAGUAAGCCUUCCUGCUCAAUGCGUCAGCAAUUAAAUUGGCCUUGCCUGGAGUAUAUUCGAUACUCGGAUUAUACUCUUGAAUCAUCUCGACCCAACGAGUCUGCCUGAGGUUGAGGUUUGUCUGGGUGAAGAUGUACUUGAGACUCUUAUGAUCAGUGAAGAUGUCCACUCUUCUUCCCAAUAAGAGAUGUCUGCAAGUUAAAAGAGCAUGGACAACUGCCGCCAACUCGAGGUCAUGAGUGGGCUAGUUCUUUUUGUUGGGCUUCAACUGGCGAGAGGUAUAGGCCACAACUUUCUUCUCUUGCAUCAACACUGCACCAAGACCUUGAAGGGAAGCAUCACAGAAGACCUCAAAAGGCUUGGAUUCAUCAGGAGGAGUCAGAACUAGAGUAGUGACUAACUUCUCUUUCAGGUUGUUGAAAGCGAUGUCACAUUCAGGAGACCAUACGUACUUCACAUGCUUCUGCAAGAGGUUGGAAAGAGGCUUCACAAUCUUUGAAAAGUUCUUAACGAACCUUCUACAGUAGCUUGCGAGCCCAAGGAAACUGCGGAGUUGCUUCACAUUCUGAGGUGGUUCCCAAUUCACAAUUGCAGACACCUUCUCAGGAUUAACAGCUAUGCCCUUGGCGGAGAUAAUAUGCCCAAGGUAGAGAACCUCAUCGAGCCAAAACUCGCACUUAGAAAACUUCGCAUAGAACUGAUGUUCUCUAAGCUUAUCCAGCACCAAACGCAAGUGCUUGGCAUGAUCCUCCUUGUUCUUGGAAAAAACCAAAAUGUCAUUGAGGUAGACCAAGACGAAGUCAUUUGUGUAGGCAUUGAAGAUGAAGUUCAUCAUGCGAGAGAAAGUUGGCGGAGCGUUGAUGAGGCCGAAAGACAUGACAGUGUAUUCAUAUGAACCAUAGCUUGUUUUAAAUGCUGUCUUGGGGAUAUCUUGUUCACGAAUGCGAAUAUGAUGAUAGCCCAUACAGAAAUCAAGCUUGGAGAAUACUUGAGCACCUUUGAGUUGUUCAAACAACUCAUUGAUGUUGGGAAGUGGGUACUUGUUCUUUAUGGCCUUCUUGUUCAAUGGACGGUUGUCAGGACCCCGAUUCUAAGUCACAUCGAUCUAGCCUAUAACACCUUAUAUCACUUUGCGACCUCACGCACGGUAUUUCCACGGGUGUCACCUUACCAUGGCCCGGGACCGUUUACGCCUUUUGCCUUACGUAUAUGAUAGUGUCGCUAGCAUCCAUAUGACAGAGAACCCGGGCCGACAUGACUAGUCGUGAACCCAAAGUGGCACUAACUUACGGGAACAGGCAGACAUGAAUCAACAUCGAGCAUGUCGGUCAGCAGCGUGCGAAUCCGGGCUAUAGCACUGGGCUAACAGGACUCCGGAUGUCACCGCGUGACAUUUCCCCGAAGGGACAGACACGGGAAUGAAGUGAAUCACAUGCCGACCAGUCAAGUGUUCUGGAGCAGUAGUGCUGGGCUAGCAGGACUCCGGUGAACCGGGCUGUAGCGGACUACUAUGGCUCAUGGAAGCACAAGACUACAUUUCCCCAUAAGAGAGGCUACCAAGGAUAAACCACUAGGUUGUCGGAUCCCACACAUACCAAGCAUUUCAAUCAUACACACAAUAUGUUCAAUAUGUGCAAAUACAACAUGGCAUCACAACAUAACUCUACGACCCAAAGUAUUUAUUCAUUAGGCUCCAAGGAGCGAGAUAUUACAAACAUGGGUCACAUGACCCAACAUUCAGAGCAUACAAGUCAAACACAUGCGGAAGCUUAACAUGUCUGAGUACAGACAUCUACAAACGAAAAAGACUAAGAAGCCUGACUAUUUACAAGACCCUCCCAAGGGUACAAGAUCGUAGCUGAGGUAACAAGCUAAACAUCAAAGUCCAAGCGGACUACUAGUGAUACUGACGUCUCUUUGCAAAACAUAAAUUAAGCAAACGUGAGUACAAAUGUACCUAGCAAGACUUACAUCAGAUCUAACUAAAUAUGCAUCAUUAUCAACGAAGGUAUGGUGGAGUUUAACUGCAGCAAGCCAGCUUUGACUCGGUGGCUAUCCUGAACCACGACUACAAGCAACUCUUUUGAGUUGGCGCACACGAGUCCACAUAUUUACCAUCCAAUACACCACUAUGGAUCCGCUCCCGUCUCCCUACGAGAAGGCCAUCCACAGCACUCACACUUAUCUUGCGAGUUUUAGAGUAUCCACUUUUACUUGUCUAUGAACUGUUAUAGGCAACCCAGAAGUCCUUUACCGCGGACACGGCUAUUCGAUUAGAUCGUUUAUAACCCUGCAGGGGUGUACUUCGUCACACAUGUUUCCACCUCUUAGCGUCUGCACACGACAUGUGCUCGGCAGACUUCAAGCGAAAGCCGACGUGGGUGUAGACCAUGACCUGACUAACCACACAAGUCUCUAGUCCAGGUUUAUCGCCUAUUCGGGUUCCAUCCGCAAGGAAAUCCGGCCGGGGUGUCCUCAACGGCCCCAAACGAUGUGUACAGGGUCCCAAGACGCCAAACGGGCGCCCGGCAUACCCGGCCACAGUGUAUCUACCGCAUCAUAGCCCACCCCUAGGGUCAGUGCUACGCACGACCGCCAACACAUAACCUACAAACACCAGAAACUAGUUGCAACUCCUGGACAGAGGACGAGAGGGGUCAAUAAGUCGAGCGGGGUCAUAUUUCAGGGCCCAAUGUGUGGUAGUAGCUGUUUCAUGGAUCACAAACACAGAACUCAGUUCCCGAGGACGGUUUCAAUGAGACAACCCACCAUGUACUCCUACAUGGCCUCUCACAGCUACCUUUACCAAAUCGUGUUCACACACUUAGCUCACACACCGUAGGACAUGUUUACACACCUCCGAUUCAUCCCCGAUGAACCAGACCUGACACGACUCUAUGCAAUAGCAGGCAUGACAAACAAGCAUGAAUGAGUAGGCACAUCAGGGCUCAAACAACUCCUACUCAUGCUAGUGGGUUUCAUCUAUUUACUGUGGCAAGGACAGGUCAUGCAGAGGAUAAGGGGUUCAACUAUCGUAGCAAGUAAAAGAUGAAUCAUUGUUGUCCUAAUGCAGUAAAAGAGAGCAGGAGCGGGAGAGUGGGAUUGUAUCGGAAUGAGCAAGGGGGUUUUGCUUGCCUGGCACUUUUGAAGAUAGUAUAGUUCUUCAUCAGUGUCAUCGAUCACAUCAUCGGAACAUCGUCUACUUAAGGGGGACAAACACCGGCAAAAGAGAAGAACACAAUCAAUGCAUAGUGACAAUAUGAUGCAUGACCAUGACAUGGUAAUAUGCUGUGAUUUGCGCUAAUGCAUCUAGUUAUGAUUUAAAUGAAGUAGGUUUGAAUACAAGAUUGAAAUUCCAACUCCAUAUAUGAUUAUUUAAAUGCCCUUUAUUUGUUUUGUCCAAAACAGAGGACAAACAUUGUUCAAACAUGCAUGAAAAUGGUACAGAUGGAUUCCUUGAAUUUUUCUGAUAAUUUUUCAUAUAUAAUUUAUUUCAUUUGGAGUUACGUUUGAAUUUCUAUGAUUUUUAGAAGUUUAGGCAAUUUUAUGGAAUUUUCUGAAUUAUUUUUAAUCUAGAAAUGACUUAUUGCGUCAGCACUGCGUCAUGCCUGCAUCAGCAAGUCAACAGCAGCGGUCUAGGUUAAACCUGACCAGUGGGGUCUACUGGUCACUGACACAAUGCUGGCAUGAGUCACUGGCGUGUGGGGUCAGUCAACAUUGACUUGACCAAAGUCUAAGCUGACACGUGGGGUCCGCAAGAUUAGCACUAAUCUAAACAGAAAUUAAACUAAUUAAUUUUGGCGCCGGGGCCCACACGGCAAUGGCACUAGGGUGUUAGUUAAGGCGUCAUUAGAGGCUAAUGACAUCGCCACGUCGGCUUCGCCGGAGUUAGGCCGCCGGCGAUGGCCAGGCACGGCGGAGGUGCUCGGAGUCGAGCUGUGGUGCUUCGUUCGAAGCUUGGCUGGGCUCUAUGGAAAGCUGGAGCGACGGUGCUUCGAGUGAUGGUGGUUGUCGGGCCUGGGACAGCCGGAAUCGACGCCGGCGAUGAGCCUUGUGGCUGCCGGAGUUCGGGCGAGGCCGAACUCGUCGUUGCGGUGGCUCUGGAUGAACAGGGCCAGCUCCUACGUGAUCUACACGAUGCGGUGAGUGGGUUGGACGCGUCGGGCGGACCAUUUGGUCGCCGGAGUCGCGUCGGUAGCGAGCGCAGGCGGCGGCGGGUUCGGGCGUAGGCGGUCCGGUGGCUACGGAGGCCUACGGGGAGGAAGAGAGGGAUGGGCAGGGUCGGAGGCUCACGGCGAGUCGGACGGGGAGGUCAGCGAGCUCGGAGACGGUCCGGAGCAGUUGGGGCAACAAGGAGGAUCUCCGAUGACCGGCGAGGAAGAAGAUGACGUUGGCGGCAUCACAGGGCUUCCGGCACCUUCCGCCUUGGUGAGGAGGAAGAGGGGAACGAGGCGGGGCUUCUUGGCACGUCAACGAGGCAUGGGGUGGCCGGUGGCCAUGGUAGAGCACGGCGGCGCCCUCUGGUGCGCUCGGGAAGAGAGGGAGAGGGAGCCAGNNNNNNNNNNNNNNNNNNNNNNNNNNNNNNNNNNNNNNNNNNNNNNNNNNNNNNNNNNNNNNNNNNNNNNNNNNNNNNNNNNNNNNNNNNNNNNNNNNNNNNNNNNNNNNNNNNNNNNNNNNNNNNNNNNNNNNNNNNNNNNNNNNNNNNNNNNNNNNNNNNNNNNNNNNNNNNNNNNNNNNNNNNNNNNNNNNNNNNNNNNNNNNNNNNNNNNNNNNNNNNNNNNNNNNNNNNNNNNNNNNNNNNNNNNNNNNNNNNNNNNNNNNNNNNNNNNNNNNNNNNNNNNNNNNNNNNNNNNNNNNNNNNNNNNNNNNNNNNNNNNNNNNNNNNNNNNNNNNNNNNNNNNNNNNNNNNNNNNNNNNNNNNNNNNNNNNNNNNNNNNNNNNNNNNNNNNNNNNNNNNNNNNNNNNNNNNNNNNNNNNNNNNNNNNNNNNNNNNNNNNNNNNNNNNNNNNNNNNNNNNNNNNNNNNNNNNNNNNNNNNNNNNNNNNNNNNNNNNNNNNNNNNNNUGGCUCGCCUGCGCAUCAGGCACGCAGUUGCUUCUCCUCCUGACAGGAGGAAGAAGACAGCGCUGCCCCUGGUGGGCUGGGCUGGCUUUGGCCAGUAGGCCACUAUAGUGGUGGGCUGCACAGUAAGGUUUCUUUUUUAUUUCUGUUACCUUUUCUAAUUUUAUCUCUGUUUUGUUUUGUUUUUAUUUAUACAUUUUGCCACUGAUUCAAAAUUCAAAAUGAAUUCAAAACAGUGCCAAAACACUCUGAGAUAUUUUAUGUUACCUCUUUGGACUAUUCCAAAAGUACAUAAAACAUUUCAAAGCAUUUGAAAAUAUAUUCAUUAUAUUUUAUGAAUAUAUCCCCAAAUUCAAAUAGAUUAUUGAUUUAAAUUUAGAGACCAAAAAAUUCCUUAAAAAUGUUCCAGAAUUUUGGUUUGAUAUAUAACUCUUGCUAAAAUUCAUAAAACUAUUUUUAGGGCAUUUUGGAUUCACAGAAUGCUAUUUAAAGGGUGCUUGCCCUUCUUUUAAAAUGAUUUCUGAGGCUUUCAAUUUCCUCAUUUCAAGUUUCUUGAAAAUAACAGGAUGCAUGAUGCUCACUGAUGCAACUAUCUGCAACCAAGGCUAGGGCUGUGACAACUUACCCCCACUAAACAAGAAUCUCGUCCCGAGAUUCCAGACGUCAGGUAAGAAGACAGAGGGAGCACAAGCUAACACGGUCUUCACGAUCCAGGUUGCACUUCAAAGGAACGUUGACACGAUCACCAGCUUUGCCUCGAUGUCUUGCUCUGAGAACUCCAUCCAACACGAUAACGGAAAGAAAAGAAACCCUCGAAGAAUCGAUCUUCUCGAAAAUCGAGCAACCGACGAUCAACUCUCAGAACAAGACAUAGCGACAUCUGUCGAGAUGAGACACAAUACACACAUUAAGAAUGAUGGAAAUGAGCAUAUGACAAGGUUUAAAUAAGUAGCGGAAUUCCCACACCUAGGAGGGUGGUGAACGGUGUCAACGUAGCAAGGAGUUGGGUUGCCAUGAUACCACAACGAGACACCUUUAAGAAGGUGACUCACAGAGAUAUUCCCUUAAGUGGCAAAAAGAAUUACUUUUGAUCCAUAGAUCAUUGAAACUCUUCAUUCCAGCUUAAGGCAAUUUACAACUGAUCGUUUGAAAUAGCUCGAAGAAAUGGCAUACUCGGACUAGGAUGGAUGAUGUGGACUACCUUGUUGAAGACAACGCAAGGGAUGAUUUUGCUUGCGUGUGCUCUCAGGAACUUGAGCAUUUCCAUAUUCAUCAAGGUUCUACCAACAUCCGUGUCGAGGAUCCUGGCAACACAUCUUACUACCUUGACAAAUAGUGAUGGACAAAGUAGAUGCAUAGAAAGACACCCCUUUCUCAGAUUUCACCUUAGUGAGGCCAAGGGAACGAAAUCUGGAUGAUCAACCGAGAGACAUUUAGCACCCCGCUUCUAAUGUUCUCCUUGAUGUGCUAGCGCAACCCAUUUGUAGAUAUGGUUUGAUAACUAGAACAUCAAUUAAAAGGUCGGACUUCAGAAGCUUAAGAAUCCAUAAGGAAUAACUACGGAGGCAGAUCCUGCGAGAUCCUUAUGGGGAGGUGACCAACUUCUUCAACCAAGAUAUUACAAUAAUAGACCUUCCGGCUAGGUGGGUUGGCCACGACAUCCAUGUUACCGGGUUACCGAGAGACCAAUAUUAUAAUUCUUGGGACAUGUUCCAACCAUCAUAUCUGCCUGAGAUUCAGAUCUGGUUGGUGUCAGGAUAUUCCAGACUCGUCGAAUCUAGAAAGAAAAGUGAAAGUUUGAAGCACAAAUCGACGAGAUGACGUUGCGAGAUUCUCGGGAAAUGAGCUACGAUAGCAAGCUCCAGAACAUGAGCUGGUCCUGCUAAAUAUAUGUGAACAUGCUGUCCUAGACAAGCAUGACCACAUAGUAGUAUUAUAGUAAAACACUAUCGAGUUCAGAUUGGGAACCAUCAUCGAGGAUAACGAAGUCCUAACAUAUGUCAUGACUAGCUCUUAUGAAGGAACUCCUUCUUCUUGAACAAAUCAAUUAGUGGCUUGGUGUGCUAGGGAUACGUAUGGAGUGAAGAUGAUCAGUCUAUCAGACCAUAGAAUACUUCGCAUGUGCAUGACUGACUUGGGAUGAUUCCAGAGGAGGUAGAACAAGCCUUCUCAAAUUCAUGGUGGCAACUUGCAUCAAGUGCACAUGAAUUAGAGGGACUCACUUCUUUCGUCCAAACAUAUGCUUCACGAACGGGUCAUGAAGAAAAUGCUUAUACAAGUUUCCAACACUGGUGUAAUGUUCAACCAAAUCAUGGAGGAGACCAAGAUGUUGUCGAUGGGAUCAACAACAAUUCAUCCAGGUUUCCGUAUAAAUGGAACUCCACAAUCAUGUGAACAAGGUGUUAGCAUUAGUCAGACCCAAAAGAUAUAAUGGUGUAUGCUCGAGGAACAACCACGAGUAAGACAACAUUACGAAUAUCGUUGGUUCUGAUUUGAUUUGACGCUAGCCCAUACUCAAAUCAAGGAUUGGUUAAGACAAUAGCACCGACAGUUGAUCACGAGGAUCAAUCGAUGAAGAUGUCAUCUUUCUUCAACACACACACACAUAAAAGAUAUCCCUUAACAUGAUCUAAGUCAGACAAGCUUUUAUCUUCCAACUCUCCAAGUUAUUGUUUAACUUAACCAACUAGCUCAAGGGUAUCCAACACAGAUUCUAGGAGAAUGGGUGGUUUGGAGGAAAAACCAGCAUGAUCAUGAACUCAACAUAGCGGUCAGGUGACAACCUGGUAAUACUUCUGAGAAGAUAUUCGAAACAUCACGAACCACCGAUAUGUUACUAAGCUCGAGAAAAAUCUUGCUUUUCAGAGCAAGACGAUAUGAAUAAAUAAGCAAGGGAUUGAAUAAUCCUAACUCAUUGAUCGAAGAGUGCACCGGAAAUAAGGACAAGGUAGCACGAUCAAUCCUAGAAUAGUGUUUCAAUAACCAACAUGCUAAGAAUGAUAUUAGUGUCCAUUAACUACCGAGCAACACGGUUGCUAGGAGUAUUGAUUUCACACAUCAUGGUUCACUUGCCGACAUUCCGGUUGCAACAACACGGGACCAAGGAAUGGAAAAUGAUGGCAAGAAGUAUCACUGCGUCAAGAAUUCAUGAGAGAUGGUGCAAUUCUCAUGACAAUCCUGACAUAAAAGGGGUAAUACUCCAGGGUAGAACAGAGCAAAAGCUGGAUGGGCAUUUGAUCUGCAGAACACAACUACUUUGACCCAAUCCUGGAUAUGGAUGAGGUACUCGAGUUUGUUUCUCCUAGUCAUUCUGAAAUAGAAUGGCUUGAUGGACCACAAGAAUAACAGGCAUCGAUGAACACGAAUGCACAACUAUUCCUGACUAUCAAUUUAUAGAUGAUGGCCGGAAUACAGCUGAGAAUGGACAACUCAAAUAGCAUAUAACAUUUUGAGUUGUGGAUUCAUGGGUUAGUAUGUCGAACGAGUUCAACAUUUUUCUUCUGGAUAACCCAUGCAGAAAGGUAGAACUGACAGAAUCACAAUUAUGAAUGGAGAACUCCUCAGGAGUACUCUAAUAGUGAUCUUUUGGUUCAAAGAACUUCUGCCUUAAUGGUUCAUGGUAUUUGGAAGAAGGAAAUACCACGGACCUCGAGGACUAUCGCAAAGGUUACUAAUAUCUUAAGGGAACUAGCAAAUACUAACGACAUGAAGUAGGGUGAAUCUCGGGUUCAAAAACCCAGGAAUAGAAUAUCUACUACUAAAUGGCAUCACGGGAUGCUUUCAAGAAUGAUGGCCAGAAUCAUCACACUGGAACACAAAACAUGGCUAGAUUACUAGGUGGCUCCCUAAAACACCUAGGGUCAUAAUAAUAGCUCCAACAUAUAUGUCUAGGCAAUAGAGUACCUCAACUGACCGGUAGUGUGAUUAAUCUGGCCCAAAUGGACAUCAGGAACAGGAGGAAGGGGUUUGCAAAUGCAUCAGACUACUUAGAAACCUGGGAUGACUCGGAUAACAUAACGGCUGUAAAUGCUCAAAAGAUCUAAGACAUCCUGCAAAAUGGUGGCAUGACCACUCAACAACACAAUAUCAAGGUUCUGAGGCCAGCUAUGAACAUAUGGAAGUAGUAGGAACUGAACUGAGGCUUAAAUCCAACAAUCCUAGGCAACUACGGUUUAGUAACACGUGAUCCUGAUAGAAAGAUGAGAAGCCUAGUUCUUAAUCCCCGUAGAAGAGAAGAGGGUGACUCAGAUCAGAGGGCUUGAGAUAUAAGGAGUAAAAAGAACCUUAUGUUCCAUCCCACAAUCAAUUCCCUUAUAUAACUAAAGCAUUUCUAGACUCAACUUCGAUCAGUCUGGCUUGGUAAUCCUACAGGUAGUCAGGCUCUGAUACCAAAACUAUCAGGACCCUGAUUCUAAGUCACAUCGAUCUAGCCUGUAACACCUCAUAUCACUUUGCAGCCUCACGCAUGGUAUUUCCACGGGUGUCGCCUUACCAUGGCCCGGGACCGUUUGCACCUUUUGGCUUACGUAUAUGAUAGUGUCGCUAGCAUCCAUAUGGCAGAGAACCCGGGCCGACAUGACUAGUCGUGAACCCAAAGUGGCACUAACUUACGGGAACAGGCAUACAUGAAUCAACAUCGAGCAUGUCGGUCAGCAGCGUGCGAAUCCGGGCUGUAGCACUGGGCUAACAGGACUCUGGAUGUCACCGCGUGACAUUUCCCCGAAGGGACAGACACGGGAACGAAGUGAAUCACAUGCCGGCCAGUCAAGUGUUCCGGAGCAGUAGUGCUGGGCUAGCAGGACUCCGGUGAACCGGGCUGUAGCGGACUACUAUGGCUCAUGGAAGCACAAGACUACAUUUCCCCAUAAGAGAUGCUACCAAGGAUAAACCACUAGGUUGUCGGAUCCCACACAUACCAACCAUUUGAAUCAUACACACAAUAUGCUCGAUAUGUGCAAAUACAACAUGGAAUCACAACAUAACUCUACGACCCAAAGUAUUUAUUCAUUAGGCUCCGAGGAGCGAGAUAUUACAAACAUGGGUCACAUGACCCAACAUUCAGAGCAUACAAGUCAAACACAUGCGGAAGCUUAACAUGUCUGAGUACAGACAUCUACAAACUAAAAAGACUAAGAAGCCUGACUAUAUACAAGACCCUCCCAAGGGUACAAGAUCGUAGCUGAGGUAACAAGCUAAACGUCGAAGUCCAAGCGGAACUACUAGUGAUACCGACGUCUCUCUGCAAAACAUAAAUUAAGCAAACGUGAGUACAAAUGUACCCAGCAAGACUUACAUCAGAUCUAACUACAUAUGCAUCAUUAUCAACGAAGGUAUGGUGGAGUUUAACUGCAGCAAGCCAGCUUUGACUCGGUGGCUAUCCUGAACCACGACUACAAGCAACUCUUUUGAGUUGGCAUACACGAGUCCACAUAUUCACCAUCCAAUACACCACUAUGGAUCCACUCCCGUCUCCCUACGAGAAGGCCAUCCAUAGCACUCACACUUAUCUUGCGAGUUUUAGAGUAUCCACUUUCACUUGUCUAUGAACUAUUAUAGGCAACCCAGAAGUCCUUUACCGCGGACACGGCUAUUCGAAUCGAUCGUUUAUAACCCUGCAGGGGUGUACUUCGUCACACAUGUUUCCACCUCCUAGCGUCUGCACACGACAUGUGCUCGGCAGACUUCAAGCGAAAGCCGACGUGGGUGUAGACCACGACCUGACUAACCACACAAGUCUCUAGUCCAGGUUUAUCGCCUAUUCGGGUUCCAUCCGCAAGGAAAUCCGGCCGGGGUGUCCUCAACGGCCCCAAACGAUGUGUACAGAGUCCCGAGAUGCCAAAUGGGCGCCCGACAUACCCGGCCACAGUGUAUCUACCGCAUCAUAGUCCACCCCUAGGGUCAGCGCUAUGCACGGCCGCCAACACAUAACCUACAAACACCACAAACUAGUUGCAACUCCUGGACAGAGGACGAGAGGGGUCAAUAAGUCGAGUGGGGUCAUAUUUUAGGGCCCAAUGUGUGGUAGUAGCUGUUUCAUGGAUCACAAACACAGAACUCAGUUCCCGAGGACGGUUUCAAUGAGACAACCCACCAUGUACUCCUACAUGGCCUCUCACCGUUACCUUUACCAAAUCGUGUUCACACACUUAGCUCACACACCGUAGGACAUGUUUACACACCUCCGAUUCAUCCCCGAUGAACCAGACCUGACACGACUCUAUGCAAUAGCAGGCAUGACAAACAAGCAUGAAUGAGUAGGCACAUCAGGGCUCAAACAACUCCUACUCAUGCUAGUGGGUUUCAUCUAGUUACUGUGGCAAUGACAAGUCAUGCAGAGGAUAAGGGGUUCAACUACCGCAACAAGUAAAAGAUGAAUCGUUGUUGUCCUAAUGCAGUAAAAGAGAGCAGGAGCGGGAGAGUGGGAUUGUAUCGGAAUGAGCAAGGGGGUUUUGCUUGCCUAGCACUUUUGAAGAUAGUAUAGUUCUUCAUCGGUGUCAUUGAUCACAUCGUCGGAACGUCGUCUACUAAAGGGGGACAAACACCGGCAAAAGAGAAGAACACAAUCAAUGCAUAGCGACAAUAUGAUGCAUGACCAUGACAUGGCAAUAUGCUGUGAUUUGAGCUAAUGCAUCUAGUUAUGAUUUAAAUGAAGUUGGUUUGAAUACAAGAUUCAAAUUCCAACUCCAUAUAUGAUUAUUUAAAUGCCCUUUAUUUGUUUUGUCCAAAACAGAGGACAAACAUUGUUCAAACAUGCAUUAAAAUGGUACAGAUGGAUUCCUUGAAUUUUUCUGAUAAUUUUUCAUAUAUAAUUUAUUUCAUUUUGAGUUACGGUUGAAUUUCUAUGAUUUUUAGAAGUUUAGGCAAUUUUCUGGAAUUUUCUGAAUUAUUUUUAAACUAGAAAUGACUUAUUGCGUCAGCACUGUGUCAUGCCUACGUCAGCAAGUCAACAACAGCGGUCUAGGUCAAACCUGACCAGUGGGGUCCACCGGUCAGUGACACAAUGCUGGCAUGAGUCACUGGCGUGUGGGGUCAGUCAACGUUGACUUGACCAAAGUCUAAGCUGACAUGUGGGGUCCGUAAGAUUAGCACUAAUCUAAACAGAAAUUAAACUAAUUAAUUUUGGCGCCGGGGCCCACACGGCAGUGGCACUAGGGUGUUAGUUAAGGCAUCAUUAGAGGCUAAUGACAUCGCCACGUCGGCUUCGCCGGAGUUAGGCCGCCGGCAAUGGCUAGGCGCGGCGGAGGUGCUUGGAGUCGAGCUGUGGUGCUUCGUUUCGAAGCUUGGCUGGGCUCUUUGGAAAGCUGGCGCGAUGGUGCAUCGAGUGGUGGUGGUUGUC
rnacentral:lncRNA from 1 species